rnacentral:lncRNA from 1 species
GUUGCCAUUGUAAACUCUAAUCGGAGAAAACACAGUUGAAGCAUGACUUUACUGCUAUAGUGGUGAUAAUUGAACCCCAAGAGAGAAAUUAUAAUGGAAUAGAGGAGGUGAUGAAUCACGAAAUAUCGUUUACCUGCUGAAGGCGUUCAAAUGACUAACCAUUUUUGCUUGCUUAUGGAAUAUAACUCCCUUACUUGAUCCCGCCAAUCGAUUCCUUCAAUCUCCUGGGUUUCCCCAAAUGUUCUCAAGCCCUUUGCUGAAGCCAUAUUGUUGUAACUCAUUCGCCUCUGGCAAUUACUUUUUUGUCCUUCAUCAUUUUUAAUACAGCUCAAUCGUAUACCAAGUCUACACCUUUUUACAUAAAUUUUAAGCGAGCUCCCUAUGUACCUUUGAAGAACAAUGUUUUACUAUCGUGCUUUGUAACGAUUUGUUCGACUGAUCAUUUUUGUAUUUUAUAUGUUUACUCAUUUUCUAUUGACAAACUCAAGAUAUUGAGAGGAAUCAUUUGUUAUCUGUUGCUAUCGUAUUUAUUUAAUAAAAUUAAUUUAUCUAGAUUCGGUCUAUGAAAUAUUUAUAGACCAAAUAAAUAAAAAAUAUUUUUUUGUUGAAAUAAGGGUGUCUUUAACUAUUCAUCAGAGAGAAAAUGACUGAAUAGAAAUUAUUUUUAAAAAUCUUUAUUUUCAUUAAUUUGGUGUAUUGAUAAAACAUUAUAAUAGAUUUAGACAAGUUUAAUCCUUAAUUAAAUCACACCUAAAUCUUAAUGGAUUAUAAAAGCAUGAAAAUUAAUUUAUACGUAGAAAUUAUUCUCAAAAAAAAAUGCGAGUAUUUGAUCCUUAUAAAUAGAGAAAAAUUCCACUUGAAAUGCUCUUUCCUUGUGGGCUUAAUACAGUGUGAGCAAGAUUGACCUUGGUCCUAAGAACACACGUGGUAAAACAAAAUAAAGUAAAAGAAUUAUACUUCCCUUCCCACUAACCUAAAUAGAAUCUAAUACAAUUAACACUAGGCUCUAAUCCGGAAAUUUGUGAGAAACACAACAUCCGUGAUGCUUGUUGGGAAAAUUGCUAUUUUUCCCGCCCUUCAGAUCGGCUUCAAGCAGGAACAAAUGAGAAAAUAAAAUAAUGACUGAGAAAUUAAAGAGAACACGAUAGUUUAACGUAGAAAACUCCUCAAGUGGAGAAAAACCACGGCCGUUGCCAAAUGACAACCAAGAAAAAUAUUCACUAUGUGGCAAAUUGUUACAACCACAAUUACAAAAUAUUUUUCUACCCAACACCCUCAAAACACCCCAAAUAUUUUAUACUCCAAGGGAUUCCAAAAGACUCCCUAAUAUAAAACACAUUCAAGUGUUUUUAGUGUAUUUUGGUGUGUAUGGAAACCUAAACAUUGCUUCCAUUUUAUAGCCAAAUCACUACCUUCACUUUGCUUAUCUCCCCGAUGUGGGAUUAAGCAAAAACUAAUUUUUUUAUAUAUUUUUUUUCUUUUGUUUUCAACAACGGCGGCUAACAAUCUUCACCUUGAAAAUAAAAUAAAAAAAACACAACAUUGUCUGCUACCGACAAUCAUAAUUCUUAUCGUCAAGAAUUAUCAUACUCCACCAUAAAAGAGUAUCGCCACUUGGAACCACUUUACCGACUCCAAGAAUUUUCCAUNNNNNNNNNNNNNNNNNNNNNNNNNNNNNNNNNNNNNNNNNNNNNNNNNNNNNNNNNNNNNNNNNNNNNNNNNNNNNNNNNNNNNNNNNNNNNNNNNNNNNNNNNNNNNNNNNNNNNNNNNNNNNNNNNNNNNNNNNNNNNNNNNNNNNNNNNNNNNNNNNNNNNNNNNNNNNNNNNNNNNNNNNNNNNNNNNNNNNNNNNNNNNNNNNNNNNNNNNNNNNNNNNNNNNNNNNNNNNNNNNNNNNNNNNNNNNNNNNNNNNNNNNNNNNNNNNNNNNNNNNNNNNNNNNNNNNNNNNNNNNNNNNNNNNNNNNNNNNNNNNNNNNNNNNNNNNNNNNNNNNNNNNNNNNNNNNNNNNNNNNNNNNNNNNNNNNNNNNNNNNNNNNNNNNNNNNNNNNNNNNNNNNNNNNNNNNNNNNNNNNNNNNNNNNNNNNNNNNNNNNNNNNNNNNNNNNNNNNNNNNNNNNNNNNNNNNNNNNNNNNNNNNNNNNNNNNNNNNNNNNNNNNNNNNNNNNNNNNNNNNNNNNNNNNNNNNNNNNNNNNNNNNNNNNNNNNNNNNNNNNNNNNNNNNNNNNNNNNNNNNNNNNNNNNNNNNNNNNNNNNNNNNNNNNNNNNNNNNNNNNNNNNNNNNNNNNNNNNNNNNNNNNNNNNNNNNNNNNNNNNNNNNNNNNNNNNNNNNNNNNNNNNNNNNNNNNNNNNNNNNNNNUGAAUCAACACGUCUUUGACUUGCACUUGCCACAGUGCAAAAUUCAUUCUCCCGUCAAAUUUCUCAAUCUCACAUCUCAUAGCCGACAUGCUUACUUGUGCUUAUAACAGUGAACCCAAUAAUUAGUGAAGUAAACCGAUUCGGCAAUACCCAGGAAAGAUCACAAUGAUCUCCUAGACAAUAUUACCAUUCCACGUAAAAUCUCAGUUGGACGGAGGGGUCACAAGUGGUCCCACUUAAAAUCCGGCCUUCUAGACAGAAGUUACGUGCACGGUAUAUUAUCAGAACUUUCGUAUCAGAAUAACUUCAAUAAUUAUCGUGAGAUCUUCACCACCGAUACUCAAGCACACCAAAGCAAAGCUCCACCUGCUUCAAGACUUCCAAAACUCCACCUGCUUUUAAAAUAAAAUAAUUUCUAACAAUAGUAUUUCUGAUGUGGAAGAUCAGACUAAGCCGCANNNNNNNNNNNNNNNNNNNNNNNNNNNNNNNNNNNNNNNNNNNNNNNNNNNNNNNNNNNNNNNNNNNNNNNNNNNNNNNNNNNNNNNNNNNNNNNNNNNNNNNNNNNNNNNNNNNNNNNNNNNNNNNNNNNNNNNNNNNNNNNNNNNNNNNNNNNNNNNNNNNNNNNNNNNNNNNNNNNNNNNNNNNNNNNNNNNNNNNNNNNNNNNNNNNNNNNNNNNNNNNNNNNNNNNNNNNNNNNNNNNNNNNNNNNNNNNNNNNNNNNNNNNNNNNNNNNNNNNNNNNNNNNNNNNNNNNNNNNNNNNNNNNNNNNNNNNNNNNNNNNNNNNNNNNNNNNNNNNNNNNNNNNNNNNNNNNNNNNNNNNNNNNNNNNNNNNNNNNNNNNNNNNNNNNNNNNNNNNNNNNNNNNNNNNNNNNNNNNNNNNNNNNNNNNNNNNNNNNNNNNNNNNNNNNNNNNNNNNNNNNNNNNNNNNNNNNNNNNNNNNNNNNNNNNNNNNNNNNNNNNNNNNNNNNNNNNNNNNNNNNNNNNNNNNNNNNNNNNNNNNNNNNNNNNNNNNNNNNNNNNNNNUUUGGAUAUAUAUAUAUAUAUAUAUAUGUUAGUUGAGAGCGUAAGAUAGAUAUAAGAAUUCUAAUAUUUAAAUUAUAAUAUUUUUGUUUGUAUAGGAAUCCUAAUAAAGUAUCAACAAAAUUAAAAGUUUUUUAAUUAAUAACAAUGAUAUUUUUAAUUAACCAAUAAAAUUAAAAGUAUGGCGUUUUAGGGACCCAAUGUUUCCUCCCCCCCCCCCCCCCCCCCCCCCCCCCAACCAACACACACAACCCCCCUUUCUCCCCCUCGGUAUUUUAAUUUUAAAUCUUAAGUAUAUCCCAGCAGUGCAGAUAUACGUGUACAGCACCAAACCCUAAUCCACCAAACUGUAAUUUCAAAUGCAAAUAUAUAUUGCAUUUUUUGCUCACAUAGAGUCGGAUCAAAUAUCUUAGUACCAAUAUUAUUAAUUAGAUGACAGUACCAUAUUUAAAAAAGUCUUGAAGGGCAUCAUAGUCAAACAAAAAAAAGGUAAUUAAGGAGGUGUGAAACAAAAAUUGCAGUAUAUGGUGCGAAUUUGCACCUGCAAAGCUGUUUAUUUUAGCUAAAACAACAACUUCAUGUAUGAACUUUCGGCAAAACAACAACGCCAAGGUCCCUUUCCUAGAUCAGACUCUCUCUCUCUCUCCCUCUCUCGAAGAAAAGAAAAAGAAAACUAAAGUAAGAAAACUAUCUUCUUUCUUUUCUUUCCUUGUUUCUCUGCCUAUAGAUAGACAAAGAAAGAAAGCCCUAUAAAUAGGGUAGAGAGAGUGAAGUUUAAGCACUUCGGCUUCUUUGGGAUUCUAAAUUUUCCGAAAGCUGAAGUGGCCGGAGAGUGACCAAAUUAAACCCAGGUCUGUGUUCUCUUUCAUCUAAAAAUACCACUGUUUGCUUUCUUGUAUAAAUAAGCAAUAAAUUUUUAUUUUUGAAUUGUUUAAUGCGGAACAGAAUCUUCUUCUUUACCCUAGAUGAACAUGUCUUCCCCUAUCUGUGUUUUCUCUUCAUUUUUGUCAGUACUCAUCCCCUAAAUUUGCUUGAUAUAACAUUAUUCCUUUUCGAUCUUCUUUUCCCAGCUCCCAGAAAUUUGUGUGUUCUUCUUUUCCUUUUGCACCUGGGUGACUUGAUGGGCUUUCUCUACUUUUCAAACUUUCUUCAGCUCAUUUUCUUGUCUUUUGUUUUCCCCUUUUAUUUGUCCGUCAGGGUUAUAAUUCUACCCGAAAAAGAAAUACUAGUUACUGUUUUAGAAAGAGAGUAUAUAUAUAUUUUUUAAAGAGUCGAGUUUGAUCUUUGAGAUUUUUCAGGCUAUACCAUUUAGCCUGCGGAGUCACCUUUGGGCUGAUCUGUCGAGUUGAUUUAUCAUAUAUAUGUAAACGAGGAUGAAAAUACGUAGCCAAACAUGGUCAAGAAGAAAGACAUAAAAAGAGAGACAGAUGACAGAAAAUGGGUCAUGCACCCAUUAAUAGUACCAGAAUUGCUGCCAAAAUCUUGUCCAACUUAUGGUAGAUUCUGAUCUGAAUUCUCUCAGAUGAUGUGUACCCAUUUUGCUUGUUAUCAUUCUUCAUAUCCAUCGAUGUCUUCUGGGUGGCUUACAUCCAUCUCCCCCACGUUUCUUUUCAACUUAACCUAUUCUUCAAGAUCUCUUCUUUCUUUCAUUAUAAUUAUUAUUUGCACCUUUUUUUUUUUGACAAAAAUACCGUGGCUUUCAAUAUUCAUUUUUAAUACAGAUCUGCUUUCAUUUCAUCUCGUCCUGAAAAUCAUGGUUUUUUGGGGUACUUUUAUUGCUAAAUAGUUUCUACUUUCUACAACACAAGAAAAGAAAAAUAAAAAACAACGAAAAUAUUUUGCUUCAUGAUCCCCGAGACAGUUGUCUUUGACAGGCACGGGAUAAAUAUAAAAAUGUCUUUGCAGAAAGAUAAAGUCCAUCAACAAGAAUAAUUCAAUCUGUUGUUUUUGAAAUAUGUAAGUUAAUACAAAGUGAUGAUCUAAGGUAGGCAGGCAUGGGAAGAGGAAAGAUCGAGAUCAAGAGGAUAGAGAACACAACGAAUCGUCAAGUGACCUUUUGCAAGAGGAGAAAUGGACUGUUGAAGAAAGCUUAUGAAUUGUCAGUCCUUUGCGAUGCUGAGGUUGCCCUCAUUGUCUUCUCCAGCCGUGGCCGCCUCUAUGAGUACUCGAACAACAAGUAAUUAAAUUACCUAAUAUUUAUUUUAAGUUUAUUUUUAAGAUCUUUAUACAUAAAAAUAGAAUCUUUAUGCCUCUUUAAUUAAUUUGAAGACAGAGAACUAAUUACUACAUAAAGUAGCAAUCCAUGUGAUGUGUGAGUUUAGAUUUUGACCAGAUAAUAAUUAAUUAAUAAUGUAAACGCAAAAUUUCAAGAGAAGCACCCACUAGCUGCAGUUGAUUGAUAUAUAUGUUUUGUUUUCCUUUUAAGCGUUGUAAUCUUAGGAAAAUCCAUAUGAUAUAACAUAUAUAUAGUACAGUGUAAAGUGUUGGCCCUUGAUUAUUCUGCUAGCUACUACUCUUCCGUUUUCAUCGCAAAAAUGGUCGGCUUUUCUUUCCUGUUUUAGCUCUAAAUCUUUCAGUUUGUCCUUUCCAAUGGACCUGAAGUUCUACUUGCAGACAAACUAAUAAGGCACUCCAUCCCUUUUCUGGCUAGGGUUUCUAAAUAUUGCUACUAUGAUUGGCGCGUGAAUGCAACCGCUUCGAAUUUGAAUGGAAAUACCCUUCUUCUAUCACAUCUUAAAAUUUACUAAUGGCCCUGUGAUUAUUCCGUUUUGAUCUGCCUUUUCAUUUUUUUUUAAAAUUGCUUUCCUUUCCCUCCUAUAUGCUUUAACUUCAAAUCAAGUUACGAGUGAACCCAAACAGUUAAUAUAGGAGAUAUAUGUAUAGAUUUCCAAGUAAUUAGCUGUAAAUUAUUAACGUACAUAUGUAUCAUUUCAAUUUGAAUUUUCUAGCAGGCGACAUCUAUAUAUAAAUAUAUCGAUCAUCUCUUUAUUUGCCUCAGCUGCUUCAGUCCCAGUCUCGUUCACAAUUGAUAAGAUAAUAAUAAAGUGAAAUCUAUUGAUAUCUCUCAUCUUUUCCUCUUUCUCAUUGUCUAUAAAUCUAAGUUUCUCUAUUCUCCUGUUUCCGUUUUCAGCUUUCAAAGUUAUUUCACUUUCUCUAACCAAAUCUACAACUUCACUUCUCUUCACCCUAAGAAGAUUGCUACCUACGUUCUUUCUGCUUUCUCUUCUUGUGAAUGAUCAGACCAUUAAUGAAGAAAGUGGAGUAGUACAGAGGUGCUUUCUGCUAGCUAGGGUUUCUCCAUUUUAGUGACAGCAACUCAGGUAGGAUACCUUUUUUCAUUUUCAAGGCCCCCUUAAGAGCGGAGCUGCGUGUGGGUUGACUUCUGUUGGAGAAAUUCUUAAUGGACUACCCUUACAAAAUUUCCUUCUUUUUUUCAAACAAAAAAAAAAAAAAAAAAAAAAAAAAAAAACCAACAACACAAAANNNNNNNNNNNNNNNNNNNNNNNNNUUUUUUUGUAAAAAAAAAAAAAAAAAAAAAAAAAAAAAAAAAAAAUCCACAAAUCAGAAUGAAAGUCAUUGCACAUACAAAAAGAAUUAUAAUGAAAUAUCAAUAUCAGGCAUUAGGUAUUUUACCAUUAGGAUUUGAGAUUUAGGAUUUAAAUAAUGCGUAAAUAUUUUCUUAAGUUCUAAAUAUGUAAAUAUUUAACUAGUCCAAAUAAUUGAUUUCAUUAAAAUACAUAUUUAAGGUUUCAAAUUCAUGAAUCCAUCGUAAUAGAAGAAUUCUUAAACUUAAGUUUCUCUUGAUUAUAUCAGUUUUUAUCAAUUUUAUGAGUACGUAUCAAAUUAGUGAGAUAAUUUAUAUAGAAUAUAUUAUUAUUAGUUUAAAAUUAUUAUUUGUAAUAAAAUUUAUAUUCGGAGUAUUAUUAUAUUCUGGGAAAUUGGUGAAGAUACCAUAAAAUUAAACAAUUCAAUCGAAAAAAGAGAGAAAAAAAAAAAGCAAAUUCAACCCUGAAAAAAUGAAAUUUUAUGACAAAUUAAUAACUAUUAAAAAAAAAAGGAGUACUUUUAACUUAAUUGAAAUUAAAAGAAAUAUUUUUCUUUCUCGUGAAUUCCAUGAUUUUUACAAUGUAUUGUCUUUAAUUUAAUUCAGAAAGUAUGCAUAUUUAAGAUUAAAGUGAAAUAUUUAUUAUUUGUCCUCAAUGCAGUGAGCUAACAAAAACCUUUAUUUGAUAAUAAUAUUUGGAUAAAAUAUUCCAUGAGCAUUAUAUUUUAUAUAGUAGAAUCUUAAGAGAAUUAGAUGCUAAAGUUCUAAAUGUGAAUUUGUGUUGAAUGCAGUAUAAAAUCAACUAUCGAGAGAUACAAAAAGGCUUGUUCAGAUAGCACAAAUGCAAGCUCUAUUACAGAAAUUAAUGCUCAGGUAAUCUUUUAUUGUUAACAAAAUGCAUUCACAAAUACCUUAAUAUGAACUGAUGAGUAAGCUUUUUCUUUACUAUAUGGUGGCUCCAAUAUAGUAUUAUCAACAAGAAUCAGCAAAGCUGCGGCAACAAAUCCAAAUGCUACAGAAUUCAAACAGGUAGUCUCUUCUAUUCUCGGCAGUCACAUUUCUCUUUCUUGGACAUGUAAUAAAUAUAGAGAGAGCUUUGCCUUAUAUCUUCAUUUUGUUCUUUUAGCACUUUAAUUUGAUUAUUGUGAGAAAAUGAAAUUUCCUUUCUCCUUUUCUUUUAGAGUGGUAUAAAGCACUGAUUAUAACCACGCUUCCUAACUAAAAUGAAACAGCAAUUAUUCACAUAUUUCUUGAAUAUGAAGUUAUAGUUGAAUAUAACAGUGAAGAAAAAGCCACCUUUAUAGAUAGAUAUAUAUAUAUAUAUAUAUAUAGCAAGAUUAAUGCUUCUGGUUUUUGGUAACUAUAGGCGACAUGAAUAUCGAUUAUGAUUAUUUCACACACUUGAUGAUAUUUUCUUCUUUAGUUUUAUUGUACGUAAGUAUAUAUGUUUAGAUAAAUAUAAUGCUUGAAGGGGAAGCACAUGCCAAAAGCUUAAUUUCAUUACUUCUUUGUAGGCAUCUAAUGGGUGACUCCUUGAGUUCCCUAACAGUGAAGGAGCUAAAGCAGCUGGAGAAUAGGCUUGAACGAGGCAUUACUAGAAUCAGAUCAAAGAAGGUAAGCAUCAAUUCAUUUAUGUAGUUGAGAUAAAGGCUACUUACUCACAUCCACACCAAUAUUGUCUACAUUCCUUCGGGAUUUUAUUUAAUCUCCAUAUACUAUUUAUCGCGCAAAUCAUCGCAUGCAGCUGCGUUUUCAAUUUUCCUUCAUGUUAGCAAGUAAAUUAAUUAAAAAAAUUUGAUGAUUUUAGAAAUUUGAAGGUUAGAUCAAGGACAAAGUUAGUAAGUGUUGUUGGUUUGUGAUUGAAUCGUCUUAUUUUAGAGACCACGUGUGAGAUUUUUGGAGUCUUUUAUAGCCAACAGAUUUAAUAGAUGUUCAAUAGCUAACUACCACUAUACAAAUACCAUUUUUCAUGCAAUGCAAGGUAUUGCAAUAGCCAAUAGACAUAUAAUGUACAUUAUAUAUUAUAUACCUUGUUUAAUUUUUCUGUUGCUUAUCGUGUACGACAGCAUGAAUUGUUGCUGGCUGAAAUUGAAUACUUGCAGAAAAGGGUAAUUUCUGUCUUGCUCUAAUUUUUCCUUUUUUGUUUUUACACGCAACUCUUUUAUGUCUUUAAACUUGCUUAUUAUAAUUGUUAGGAGAUUGAGCUCGAAAAUGAAAGUGUUUGUCUUCGAACCAAGGUAAUAUAUAUAUAUAGGAAACUAAAUUCCAAUCUGUAUUGAUAUAGUAACCUUUCUAUUUUCUAAUGAAGAACCACAUACUUUCUGUUCAAUAAAAAAUAAAAUAAAAAACUUCAGAUAGCAGAAAUUGAGAGGCUUCAGCAAGCAAACAUGGUAACUGGGGCAGAGCUGAAUGCAAUUCAGGCACUAACCUCUCGCAAUUUCUUUGGUCCGCAUAUGAUUGAGGAUGGAACUGCCUACUCUCAUCCCGACAAGAAGAUUCUCCAUCUUGGGUAUGCAUCUUCUUUGUCUAUUCACUACGUUCUGUCCAAUAUAUAAAUUGUGUAUAAAUAUUGAAACAUUAAUCAUUGUCGAUUGCAUAUUCAUGCAGGUAAUCACUAGUAAUGUCAAGUGGGCCAUGUUGGAUUGUUAUGUAUUUUGUAAUUCGAAGAAUAAAGAUACCAAAACUCUAGUAUCUCUACGUGAUGUGUGUCCCAAUUAAAACUGGAGCUAGUGUUCGUGUAUAGUUCCUGCAUGCUACCGCUUGCCUAUGGAACUUACCGUGUCCUCUACCAGAUUGAAGACGUGAACAUGGCUAUGUCCCUUAUAACCAGCGUAAUCACUGGUUCGCUAGCUGUCCAAGAUCAGUGAUUAUGCUAGUUUUCUAAAAUGUUUGUUUGUUUGUUUGGUGUGAGUGAUUUCUCUCUUAUAACUAUAUAAAUUGAAGUAACGUACUAACUCAUACCUUUUAAUAUUCUGGAUGGAUAUCAUUGACUCGUGUUAUUUUACUAGUCCAAUACUCCAGCAACAACUAAGUCUUAGUACAAAUUAGUUUGAAUCGACUAUAUAAAUCUUUUGCUAUAUCUGCCUGAAUCCAUAAUAGCAAGAAAAGGCAAAACGUAAAAAUAUGCACAUGUUGGAAUAUUAAUCCUUCAGCCAAAUCAUGGUAAAUAUUUACAAGAGAUUUAAAUCAAAUGAUCCAAUCUCAAUCUUUCGUAGCAAUAGUUCGAUAAUCCAAAUACGAAAGCUAGACAAAACACACUUAAACAUUUUCAUCACGCAAAAUAAAAAUAAUAAUAUUGAGCAUACUGCAUCACAGAAUGUUGCAUCGACUUUCAGCCUGCCUACGGAGUUCCUCAGUCUCCUUUUGAGCUCUUUCUAAAUUCUCUCUAAGCCGGCGAAUUUCAUCAUUUGAUUUCAUUUGAGCUAAUUGUGCAAUCUCUUCUGCUUUUAGUCGGGCAGCUUGCUCCUCUGCCAACUGCUGCUCAAGCCUAUUUGUUGUCUCUCUAAGUUUUGACUCAACCUACAAGCAACAUGGAAUCCAAUUUAGUCAAUGAAGUAGCAACAUCUGGACCAACAGUAUCAUGUUGUGACAGAAAUAAAGCUGACAAGAUUAUCUUUAUGUUAUCAGUCUAAACACCAGGGAAUUAAGAUAAAUUUAGGGCUAAAAACUAAUUGAAAAAUGGCAAGUGCAAAUAUAAUUUACAAGAAACACUACCAUUGUCCAUCCAAAACUUAAGUUGUAAAUCAUACGUACACACAGACCAAUAAUAGUGAUGCAAGGUACACCGACAAAAAGCAGGAACACAACUCUAUUGUAUUUCUUAAGCAUCUUCCCUCACAUGACACAUGCUUCUGAACUGAACAGUUCACAGAAUCCAAAAAAUAAGGUUCUCCAAUAGAAUUUCAGUCUUAUUAAAAAAAAAAACUGAAAAUGAUACACUGGCACUAGCUACCAUGUCAUUUAUAACAUUUGGAUAUUCUUAGGAUGAUAAAGAUUUCAAAAUAUUUUCAAAAACAAACACAAUCCAACAGGAAAAGUCAUGAACACAACAAAAUCAUGGAAUACCAUCUCAGUUAUUCGUUUCAGCUGUUCUUCAUAUGACUUGUGCAUCUGCUCCUUUAGCUCCAAUAUUUCUCGUUUAGUAUAUCCUUCCAGGGAAUCAACCUCUUCUUGUUGAUCACGAAGUUUCAUCGCUCCUUUCUGUCAAAUCAAUUAAGUCACCAUUGACAAUUUUACUCUGGAAUGAAAUAAAAUUAGCAAAUGUCACAGGUAUGCUCACCUUCAACUCGACAAAUAUCUCAUCUGUAUAUGGCUGUCCACCAUUUUGUGCCAUGACCAUAUUUACAAGGAAAAGAAGCUGUUGAACCUGUUCAGCUCUCUUAAGUUCAUCUUUGGUUUUGUUAUCAAAAAGCACUAGUCUAUUCUUGCAGAGAUUAAGAAUUUCCUGCACAGAUAUUACAACUGAUUGAGAUACUAAUGUUGAGAGUGUUUAACUUCCUCGUAAUUUUCAGCCCAUAAAACAUAAACUAAUUGUACAAACAAAUAGCUAGGUACUCAUCACAUGAUAUCCUACCAAACUCAUUUUCCAGUAGUGAGAUUUACAAAUUUUAUGAGUUCAAAAUAGUACGAUCUGUGAAUAGUUAUGCAUUCAAAUGAAAGGUUCCACAUAGUUCCUCUUCAAGAAACUAUCUGUAAGAUCUGCAAAUAGCUAUGCAUUCAAAUGGAAGGGUUACAUAUAGACACUCUUCAGCACAAAAUAUCUAUAAUCAAUCCAUGAUGUGCAUGUAGGAAGAUAGAUUUCCAAUAAAUUUUCUACUAUUUCAAUGCAUGUAUUCUGUCUUAAUUUUUCUUAGCCUAGAAUCCUUGUCCUCAAGAAUUCUCCUUCAUAGUUCCAACUUCUGGUUUAAUCACUUACUAGUUUCAUCAAUUAGAAUAAUAUCAUAUAUAAAUAAAUUUAACUAUAAAAAUGGCAAAUCAACUAUAUUGCUACAAUUCAGAAAUCACCUUUAAAGGCUGAGGACAUUCACGACCUAGAUAAUCUUGUAAUGUCUCAUCGUUAUCUUCAAGCUCAUCUCCUCCAGUGAAGACUACAAUCAUGUAAUCAAAUAUCUUGCUUCCAAACAAAGUCUGCAAGCUCCGAAGUGCAGAUUCCUCUUCCUGUGAGAAGCGUGUUCGAACUGAGAAUACAACCAGGACUGCAUGGAUCCCAUCCUUUGCCAUGUUAAUACAUUUGACAAUUUCUUUGCCAACAAAAUCAGAUUCAGCAGAAAAAUCGAAUAGUCCUGCAAUUAUAAUCUGUCAGUUCCUAUGCAUCGCUGAGAUAACAAUAAGAAAAAGACUAAUGGGUGCUGUAAAACACAAAUCCAUCUCAUCCAGUUCAUACCAGGAGUGUCGAUGACAUUGAUAAUCUGACCAUCUGACAUCACAGUUCGCUGUAAUUCGCAAGUACUAGUAACACCAGAUGAACUAGCCCUUGAUUUGAAGGCCUUCCUUCCAAGGAUACUGUUGCCUGUUGCACUCUUGCCAUUCCCUGUACGCCCAACUAAAACCACUGUGCGAACCCCAUUGGAUGGUGAAGUAAGCUCCCAGUCAUCAUCUAGUGCACUUCCACCCAUCAUGCCAGAUCAGGUAACCUGCAAAGUGAAAUAUCUAAGACACCUUUGGGCGAAGGAAUGUCACAGGUCCAGUCAAAAAGUAUCUUUAAACAAUAAAAUGUUAGCCCUAUAUAAAAUCAGGCUUGGUUCCAAGUCGAAUCUCCAUUUUAACCGUAAGUUACACAUGUUAUAAUCAAAAAGACACAGACCACAAAGCUUCACUCCAUCAAGAAUCAAGUAUUCACAUUGAACAGAAAAUUUAUAAGAAGAGAUAAUCAGGGCAGACACAUGAUAACUUUCAACAGGACGGAAUAAAAAACCAGUCAUCAAAGCACAGUGAUCUUAUAAAAUAGGAUGCCGCUAAAAUUCACCAGAUGAUUCCAUCUUGUUCGUAGUCAUUGAAAAAAUGUAUUCUUUAAUAACUCAAUCAAAAUCAGAUAAGAAAGCAGAUAGAGAUUUCGAAUUACAUGCUCUCAAGCAAGACCUAGUUUCAAAUAAAUCGACAACGCUAAUUCUACUAAGAGAUUCAAAAGUUAAGCCUUUUGGUUUUCUACCUUCCAUACAACAACAAAACAGAGACGAACAAAAUUAAGAUAUCAAAAAGAGAAUCCAAGCGUCUGUCGAUUGAAGUGAUCAACAAGAAAUGCAUAAUAAAUUAUUGCUUUUCGAAAAAAAUAAAAUGCAGUGAUGAUCAUAAGAUUCUUACUUGGGAUGACAAAUUUGUGGGAGUCGGAGAUGGAGAAGGGAUAAAGACUAAAGAGGCUGAGUUAAAGACAAAUUGAACCAGGAAAUUUCUUAUUGGACUGGACUACUGCUUGACCUCUUGUCGUGCACUGGAGUAUAGCCGAAUUGAACCCUCCGCAGUAUCUAUUUACUUCAACCGAAGCAAAUCUGAACCGUUGAGAGCCUCGAAGUGCUUUGUGAUAUCCAAGCCAACCGCCUAGAUUUACCCGGUUUAAAGUCCCAAGUUUAGAACCGCGCACUCUCAAGCCCAACUCAUUUUAAACACCGACUUCAUCUUCUACUUUUUCAAAAAAUAAAAAAAUAUAAAAAAUAAUUUUUAAAAAAUUGGAGCACUUGAAACCUGAAAGAUUAUCAUUUUGGAGAACAAUAAAAAGUUGUUAAUAAAAUUUCAAAUUGCUGGCCUUGGAGAAUAAGUUGGAGAAAUUAAGAAUCCAGUCCAAGUAACAGACAGAAAGGAAGGGGAACGAAGGUAUGUGCUUUGGACGUUGAAAGUGCGCACCGAAAGAAGACGCGGCAGUUGAACUAGAGGAGACAGAUUGAAUGAUAAUGAAAAAGAAAGAGCCUUCUGAAAGGACCAGAGUGGUUAUAAGGCAUUUGCCUCCUUCUCUCUCCCAAUUUCAUCUCUUCUCCCAAUUCGAUCAUCUUUUCUCUCAACGCUACAAUUGGUUCUGCUUUCGCCCUGCAAAGUUCAGGUUCCUUUUGUUUCAUUAUCAAAUCACGCCUGUUAUUUUCUCUUUACCGUCUUGGGUUCUUGUCUAAUUCAUUUGAUCCUUUUUUUUUUUUUUUUUUUUUUUGAGAUUUGGAGUUUGAUUCUUUGAUUACCCAUGGUCUAGUUAAUCCGUUAGAGCUGAUUAUUUGAGUUCGAUUUGCCUCAUUUUACCAGUCUAUAUGGUUGGCUGGUUGGGAAUUGGAUCAAUGUAAAUAAUUAAGGUUGACGAUGUUUCGGCAUUAGUAUUUUUUACGGAUUCUACACAAGACUUAAAUUUUAUUAUGAAUUUUCUGAAAAACUCCUUGCAGUCAGAAGCAUCAAAGAUAUUCUCGAGCCUACAUAGACUUCAAGAACCCAGGAGAUGUUUUGGAGUUCGCAGAUAUCUUCCAUGGUCAUAUAUUUUACAAUGAGAGGGGUACUUAAAAACUUUGUGGCUGAUCUCUCAUUCUAUGCUUUACCAAGUAAACAAACUACUGUGAGGUUCACCUGGUUUUACAGUAUGGAAGCAAUGGUUCCUAUAACAAGCAAAAUAAUUGUUACAUGCGACUAUAUUGAUGAUUAAGAUGUUAUUUUAGUCGUGGUUCUUCUUUCAUUGUUUUUUCCCUUGGGAAAUUAAUUUUGUGAUUGAAAUAAUUUAUAUUGAACGCCAAAGGUUAUUUAUUGAAAAAAAGGAAAAUGCAUCUUAUAUUAGAAUGUUGGAUUUUGUGACAUUGAUCCUUUACUUAUUGUUACUUUGAACAUCAAUUGAAGCUUAAAAACCUGAAAAUUUUUUUGCUAUCACUGAAGGUUCUCAGUUCAAGGCCAUAGUUGAAUAUGCUCCUUCUCAGCGUGUUCCUAAAACUUGUACAUUAAAGGAUGAUCGUGAUGGGACCAUUUAUAAAGGUAUUAUUUCCUUUCAUUUCUUGCUUGCUUCUAUUCCUCUUGCUCUUUUCUUUCUUGAGAAAAGGAACUGGUAAACUUUUUGAACCAUUAUUAGAUCUAUUAUAUGGGAAUUUUGUAUAUUAUUAUUGAUUCUCUCGUAUUGCUACCAUUAACUUGCAUGUUACUAAUGAUUCCUUCUUGAAACUAGAUCCUGAUUAUCUGGAAUUCCUCAAACUUAUUGCAAAACCAGUUGAGAAUCUUCAUAGUGCUGAACCUCAGUUGGAAAGAAAAGAAGCAGAACAAUCCGGUGUGUCCAUAUGUUCACUUGCCCGUCAUAUUAUAAUGCAUCAUGUCAUUUAGUAUUUUUAUACUGGGGAUUUGUUUUCUCAGGAAAAAUAUUCCUUUUAGUUCUAUCUCAUAAAUAAAUUUAUUUAUUCCACAUGACAUUUUUUCAGCUUCUGCGAAAGAAUCUCCUGUUACGACACCCCUGAUGGAAUAUGUUCGUCAGAAACGAGCUGCUAAGGAUGAAAAUCAGGUGUGUUGCAUUCUGAUUUCUCCUUUACUAUGCAAAACCAAUUGGCCAGUUUUAGGCCCAACACCCUCAACUUUUAAGUCUUUGCAUUUUUUUGCAUUGCUUUACAUUUUCCAAUUCCCUACACAAGGGAGAUAAAUGGAAUGCAUAAUUUUCAGUUUAAUACGUUGAUACCAAGUUGUUAGGUUAGGUUCCACACUCAUCAAUGAUAUGGAUUAAUUCUGAGGUGCAGUUCCUAACUCUUAAGUGUGUUGUUUGGUGAGAAAGUAAAUGAGAGAGUAGGAAAACCUUAGAGAAAUUGUUGAAAUUGGAACACGGAUAUUAAAGGAAUUUUGCGCGCCCUUGCAUAUACAUCAGAGUAUUUUGGUACAACUUUAGUCCCUAGGUUCUACAGAAGUUGUCAACUGAAGAAUAACUGAUUGCUGACAACUUCUGUAAAUGUUUUUUAUCAAUUCAAUUACUCUUGCUGAUUUAAAACUAUAACAAGGAGAAUGAGUAAUCUCUGAAGUUUGGUGAGGUAAUCAUCUCAAUUAUAACAUCAUAUUUUAUGUUCAUGUCAACUUUGUUUUCCAAUAUGAUAAAUAAUUUGAUUUUGAAAUUUCUGAUUUAUGACAGGAUGCAUCAGCUGGUCUCAAGGAUAACAGAAAAGCUAGGUCAGCAUCUGUGAACAAGCCUGGAUCAAGUGCUACUAGAAAAGGUGCUCAAAAGAAAAAGGUGCCUCCAGAAUCAUGUUUUUGGUAUUCCUUUGAGUAAAAUUGAUAGUGCAGAACUUUAAUGUGCUUUGGAAAUUAUAGCAUAGCAGUUGUGCACUGGAUUUUCUUUCAUGAUUUUGUGUUUUGCUUGAUUUGAUAUGAGGUCACUCGUCUUUAACAUUAAACAGGUAAAUCAUUUAUUCAAGGAAAAUUUAAAGCAGGUAGUUCUUAUGCAAGUUGUUCAUAGUUUCACAAUAGUAAGCCCACUUCUUUCUUGACAAAUGGAUUGGAAAAUUUUCAUGGUGUAUAAGAUUGUUAUCUUUUCCCUUGUUUGGGCAUAUCAUGUUGUUAUUAACUUUUUUCUUUGCUAAGAAGUGCUCUCUCUCUCUCUCUCUCUCUCUAUGUAUAUAUAUAUAGACACACACAAACUGAAAUUCAGACAGCGGUUUGAGCAAUAGUUCAUCCAGAUGGUUAAUUCUUGUUUAUCUUGCAUUUAUCAGCAAAAUUUCCAUUGCAUGCCAGCUUGGGGAAUGUUGUUAUCUUCUUAUUUCCUAUUUGAUUAACAGCAUAAUCUGAAGGGCAGUGCAAAGAAUUCAAACCACAAGAGCAAAUCAACUAUCCUUGCGGCACCUAAUCAAGGAGAUCAACCUGCUAAUCAAUAUGGAAAAGAAAUAUCAGGAAUUCAAUCUGGUAUGGACACACACAAACUGAAAUUCAGACAGCGGUUUGAGCAAUAGUUCAUCCAGAUGGUUAAUUCUUGUUUAUCUUGCAUUUAUCAGCAAAAUUUCCAUUGCAUGCCAGCUUGGGGAAUGUUGUUAUCUUCUUAUUUCCUAUUUGAUUAACAGCAUAAUCUGAAGGGCAGUGCAAAGAAUUCAAACCACAAGAGCAAAUCAACUAUCCUUGCGGCACCUAAUCAAGGAGAUCAACCUGCUAAUCAAUAUGGAAAAGAAAUAUCAGGAAUUCAAUCUGGUAUGCGUUUAGGCUUGUUGUAGUCAUGGAAUUUUGUUUGCUAAUAUUCGUGUGUUUAUUUAUGUUCAUGUUGACUAUAUCAGAUGUCAUGCAAUCAUCAUUAGCCACAUGAAAUUUGGGAAUAUAUUAAAGGAUCUCUUUUGUGUGUUUAUGUUUUCCAUAAUGCAGUCUCCAGUGUUGGUGGUCAUGUUUCAAUAUCUACUUUGACUGGAGAUUCUGGAAAGAAAAGAAUCCCGCUUCUCAAAGGGAAAGAAUAUGAAAUUUCUGCUGUAAGUUAUGUUUACCUUCUGCUUUCCCGUUGCUUCUUCAUUGAUGUUGUCCAUUAUCUGCCAUGCUACAGAGAUUUUUAUGUGCACACUUAAACACAUAGAAUAUAUAGUUCUAUUAGACUUAAAAAAUAUUUUGUCUUUUCUGAUUCAACCAGUGAUACAUUUAGGUGUCUGGAGGUAUGUUGCACAAGCCUGGAAAUCCGGCUGUUGCCAUUUCUCAUAAACAAAACCAGAGGUUUAAAACUAAUGAAAGACUGGUAAAGGGCAUCCUCUUAAACAAGGAAGCGCAUAAAAAUCAACCUUUGGCUGGCAUACAGCCCUGGCUCAAAUUUCAAAAUUCAAGUUUGAAGAAUGACAAGCGAUCACCUUGGCCUAUCGACAAACUAGCGGGUUCUAAUGGUCAUCUUCCUAAUAUUGAACCAAUUGCGUCUACUUCUAAUGAUGAUGUAAAACAGACUUCAGAUGGCAAGUUCUUGACAAGAGGCAGGCAUAGUUUAGCCUCUUCUACUGAAAAACAAGAGAAAAGUACAAGAAAUAACAACAGACCAGAUAAUGGAGUGUGGACUCCUCUUGGUCAUUCUGACGUUCAAUGUGAUAAUGACCAAUUUACAAAUACUAUGUUGCAACAAAAGCAUUCGGAUUCUGUUGAAGGUAUUAUAUGUAAUUCUGUCUGCAGUAUAAUAUUGUGCUGCGCGAAAUAUGGAUAUAUGGAUGCAGCUGUUUACUAUUCUUUAGUGGAAACAUGUGAACUCAGUUUAUAUAUCUCUGAUUUUCUAAUUACUAGAGGAGAAAAGAAAAAUGACAUGCAUUUUCAGUAGGCUCAGCAUUCCAUUUUUGAAUGUUAUGGCUGGUGUUCCAUUAGACCUAGUUUCUCAUACAAUGCACAGGCACACCAUUUAGUAGAAAAUCUUUGUAAAUAAUUUAAAUCAUGCUGUUCCCCCUUCCCCCCCUUUUUGUGUGUGCGGGCUGGCAGCAGUCAUGGUGUAGCUGACAGCUUCUAGAAGUGUGAAAUUGUUUCUUGACCAUUAUUUAAUGGUUAUGAGUUGCUCAUAUGAUUCUAACAAUUUCAUUUGAGUUUUACUUAUCCAGGAUCCCACAAACGUUUUGGACAUCAUGUGGCAGUCCAUAAACUGAAGGAUAACAGCUCCUUGAUUGCAUCUGAGUGGAAAUACACAAGAAGAGGAGGAGCUAGUAGCUAUGCUGUUCAUGAGGUCUACGAAUAUUUAUGUUAAGCAUCAUGAAUCAUGUUACUCUUGUACUUUUUGUCAAUUUGUUGAACUGUGUCUAUGUAUUUGCAGAAACAAGUGUGGGUUCAGAAAUCAACUUCUGGUUCGUGGACUAACUAAGUUGGUAAGCUUAUAGCUUUUAGCCAAUUGGACUUGAAUUGAGUCGCUUAUACACUUUAAGACUCUCACACUUAGUUCCAAAUUAUAAAUAUUUUUAGUUAAUAAUUUACAUUAGGUUAGCGGGAGUAUCUCAACUGUGUGAGUCGUGGUGUUGUUAUUUGAUUAUAGGUUUUGGAUGUGAAACUCCCAUCUCAGCUGUCGUCUCACACUCUCUACAAGUGACCUAGUCCGGUGUUUGUGUAAGAAACAGUACUGUGUGCAAUCCAUAAGAUUCAUGCCUACAUCUUUUGGUCUUUUAAAACCAGGGCCAAAAGCUUCCCUUUGGCAGAUUAAACUAGAAAAUGAUUUCUUUUUCCUCUAUUGGCAAAUAUGGGAAAAAGAAAGCUGCUUGUCUUUUCUCAGUAGUAAGAUGUCAGUUCUGGUGGAAAGUCAUGUUAUGAUCUUUUUGUUAUUGUACUUCAGAUGUUGAUGCUGUACAACCCUCUGAUUCAGGUGAAGACUCCACUGUGAUAUUGUUCUUAGAUUCUCUUGGUCCACAUUCUGUCAAUGAUAGUGCACUGACAUCUUCUCCCGAUUGAGCACUGGGUGUCUGUUUUCUUCAGACCGAGUACCCAAAUACCUUGUUCUUCAUGGUUUGUUAUUCUACAUGUCAAUAUUAUUAUGUUAUUACCCAUAAUGGGAGAUCCGUAAUCUGAUUAACUUAGAAGCGUUUGUAAGAUUUGGUAGAGAUUAUCUAGCAGAGGGAUCCAUUGAACAGAGCAGAUCCAGUGUCAAAAUGCACUCGAACUAGCAAAGGACUUUAUUUGCACCAGGUUAUCAAGAAUGUUGAUAUUCUUCGUGAGGAAAACUCAUAUCUUAUUUAGCUGAAUGCAUUUGCCUUGGAACUAUAGAAUAUAUCCCUUGUAUUACAUUUGAAUUUAAGGAUGAAAUUGAUUCGUCCGAUGACCCGUCCUGAUAAUGCAAUAGGUUUUAGCUUGCCAAGGACAUGAAAAUGAAUGAAGAUCUUGAGAUUGAGUCAAUGUUUUCUCUUUCAUUUUCUUUUACGAGGAAUUUUCUCAUUUUAUUUUGUGGUCAUUUUAUUUUGUUUGACCACAAGGACGGUGAAACGUUCAGUCCUGAGAUCGGGGUUUUUAGGCUAUGUUCGAUAACAGUUUUUUAAGUAACAGUUAACAUUUGAACCAAUCAAAAUGUUAACUGCUACUUAAAAAGUUGUUUGUAUUUAGAGAUUAUGAUAGCGUUUUGUGAAAAAAAAAAAAAUCAACUCAUAUAACGGUUAGUUUUUAGCUUUUAGUGUUUCAUGAAAAGUUAUUCAAAAUAAUUAAUAAUUAAAUACUAUUAAAAUAAUUAAUAGCCACCAAAAUAAUUAAUUUUGCUGAACAGAUUCACAGUGGAUAAACACAUAUUUGGUAAUCAAAUCAGAGUACAUAUUGAGAUAAAAAGAUUUGUGGUUGCGACACAUGCUGUGGAGGCAUAAAAUAAUAUUAUUGCUAAAUUAUUCAAUGCCAAUCAAUUAUUUUCUCCCUUUCACAUUCAUUGUAAGUGCACGGCCAGUCUAGAAUUUAGCAAUAAAAAUGCAAAUUACUGUGGGAAGCAAGUAACAUAAGAAAUACAGUAAAUAUUAAAUUAACCAGCAUAAAAGAACAUAAUGAGGUGUGAUCCCCUAGGACCUCAACCCAUACAUUUUAAUUCUAUACCCACAGUUUGCAGGAUGAAGAACUAACUAAAAGUAGGAAAAAUUGCCCCGACGUUCCACAAUUAAUAUAGCCUAACAUAUUUUAAAAGCUAUGUAUAUCAAACUGGAAAAAGACAGAUAACUUAUCUUAAUUCCUCAAAAUAUGUAUUCUAUGGAAUUUGAGCAAUUUCCAGUAAGAUUUUGUGCAGCGACUGUGGCUUUGAAAAAAAGGGACAGUGAUCACUUCCUUUAAUCUUGAAGACUCCUUCUGGUGGAUUUUCCCUCACUAACUUUUCUUGGACAUCCGGUGAAAGAGCAUGAUCGUCCAAUGUUUGAAUGAAGAACCGCCUUCCAGCUCCAUAAUUUUCAGGGGAUAGUGAGAGCUUCUCCAUUAUAGGACCCAGUGGGAUGGGUCUCAUACAAACCAUGGCCAGAGCAACAUCCUGAGGAUUACCAAAUACUAGUUUGAAUUUUACUAGCAAUAGUAAUAGGACAAUGAAGACACUACUGAGCCAAAUUCGAUCCGAGCCCAUACUAGGUAAAGCUUUUCUAGACUCAAACAGUUUACCACUUGGGUCGAUACAUACCCCAUGCAUACUUUUAUUAUAAAUUAAAACAAGAUCCAUUUCCUUAAUGUGAGACGACAAAGAGAUCAUUCAAAUUAGUUGGAAGGAUCAUGGGCCAAGACAGGCGAUAUCCCACAAAAGUGAAACUGCUUCUAGUUGGAGAUUAUGUGUAAAAUAAAAGGAUUACAGAAACUAAUAGAUUUCAGACAAAGUGAUCAGAUUGAACUUGAACAUACCUUUGUUGAUGAUUGAUUGAAAUAUAAACCUUUCAUUUGCUGUUUCUCGAACAUAAAUCCUGUAGGAGGCUUGUCUCUACCAUCCCCAUAUAUCAAAAACUCUGAUUCUUGCAUGAAACGUUCAGCAGAUCCAAGCUGAAAACACUUCUAGUGAGAACUUAGAGACAUAGAAUAGCAUGAAAUAGUAUAGAGGGAAAAAAAAUGUUGUGAUGUUUAAUAGCUGAAGUAGUUUAGUCCAAAAGAGAAGCUAUUCUACAAAUUAGUGGAACACACUCGAUGGCCUAUGAAUAGUUAUUUCAUUCUUUCUCUAUUUUUAUUUCACAAACCAAAUGGAACCCAAAGUAUGUGCAAGCCCAGCCACCAAUUAAGUCCAAAAUUCUGAAGUUCUGUGAAUAAUUUUCAGGAAAUCUAUAAGGAAGGUGACCAUAUGAGAUUUUGGAUAUUGAGAUGCAGGGAGAAGUAGUUAGAUAACCCAUUAUCAUAUAAGGUCCUAAAAGCUUCAAAAGCGUGUUAAGGGAGGCAUCCCAAGUUAACUUUUUCAUUUUAGAAAAAGAAAAAAUCCUCUACAUAAGGUUACUUGAGCAAAUUCCUUUAAGAAUGUGCCUUCAGUGAAGACCGGGGUUACAGGCUAUGCAGCUACUUUCCUAGGAGUGGAGUCAUGUCAUAUACACUAAGGACGCUGUUGAGUAUGCAAUAAUACUGUACUGAAAAUAAACUAUGUGCGCAAAAUUUCAAAGAUCAAGACGAUGAUUUCAAGUAGUUACAUUGACUUGUUAGAAUUGCACAUCCUACUUGUUUUUUAAAGUUAAAACAAAAAUUUCAAAAUAGUUACUCAGCUGAUUCUACUCUAAUACGGUAAGAAUACAAUCCAUAAUUCACUCAUCUUUUGAAAAAACAUUGCUACCUUGCAAACUAUGAUUACUCUAGUGGAUAGAUUGUCUUAGAAGCACGACAACUUCAGCAACCAACAAGAAACUUCAAUGUUGACUUCUUAUCAAAAUAAAGACCUUAAAUUUUCUUUUGACAAAAUAAGUUUAAGAUGAUUCACUGGAUGAUAACAUGGAAGCUCUACCCCACACAUUCAAUGGAAAUAUUAGGAUUUUGCAAUUAACAGCAGAAAUUUGCAUUAUGAAUACUAAGAUAAGGUAUUCUCGAUGUAAAAAAUCAACUAAUUAAAUACAUACAGAAUCUAUCAAACUAUUUGAGACGCAGUUGACUAAAUUCAGAUGACAUAAAACAUUGUAAUGGCAUGGCAUUGUAAGUUUAACUACCAUUAACCGGUUUCUAUUUGGACUGGCAAGUAAGCAUGACAAUGUACCUCUUCAGCAAACAAAUCAAAAGGCCUCUGACCAUCAGACACCAUUGUAGCACAGAUAAAAAUAGCUUUUGAGAUCUUGUGUGGAAAAUGCUCUAGUGCAUAUGAGAUGCACGCACCUCCACUGCUAUGACCAACCAAAAUAACCUGCAUAAGAACUAUGAAUCAAGAAAUUUUGCAAGGUAUAAAGUGGCCGAGUACUUGCAUGUUAAGUCACUACGAUACCAUUUCAAUCCCCAACCUUUUCAUCCUCAGGAACAUUUUCCAAAUAAUCAAUCAAAGGUUUUGAAUAAUCUGCCAACGUUGCCACAGUGUUUGUAUCCGUCAGAUCAAUACCAGAUCCUAUUAGGUCUAUAGCAGUGGGAACCAACCCUGCUUCUUCUAACAGCGCAAUCGUUUUGUACCAACACCAAGCCCCAAACCCUUCUCCAUGUAUUAGAAUAAACUUUUUUAGCUUGAUACUUUCCAGAAGGUCCGGCACCUGUAAAGAAGUAGCAACACAAACACAAAUUUGCAUAACCCCAUGAAUUAACCUUUAUAAACGGGGGGCUUUAAAGGGAUUCAGCCGCUUUUCACCAAAAAGGUCGACAAUUAUGAGAGUGGGAUUAGUUACAUAUGUUGUGUGAAUUAUCUAUUUUAAUUAGGAAACAAACCAGAAACAUCUGAAAAGAGUUACAUAUUGGCUCAUCUUUAAAACCAUAAAGAAUUACCUUUUCCAGUUUCCAUACUUUUCCUGAUGCAACCUUUUUGAAGUGUUUAAAAAAGAAAAAGAGAAAAAAGAAUACUUUUCCCUCCUCCAUUUUUGUUUUUAAAUACACAUAUAUAUCACUCUCACGUUGAAACUAGACCAUCUUUAUAUACCUUGUCUUUUAACUUUACACUUGAGCCCAUAAUUAAUCAUAAGACAAACUUUCAGUUGCAGAGUACAGAUCCAAUCAUGAAGGAACUAAUUUCAGACAGACAAAAAGAAAUAAAAUAAGUAACAUGCAUAAAAUAAGGUGUCCCAAUCAAGACCUGUUUUCCGUUAGAGAAAGGAUCAGAUAGAUUUCGUCUUCGAGAGCUGGUGGAGCCAAUCCUCCUGGACAUGGAUCCAUCAAAUCUCUGAGACAAUUGGUGUUGAUGAAUUGCCAUAGAAAGAGCUUGCCUGUGCAGGAACUCUUCCUCUGCCAACAACUUUCUCUGGGACCUGCCCAACCUCUUGCUUCUCGAUCCAUGAUUAUCUUUGGCAUCCUUUUUUGUCAUGCAAACGAAACGAUUCCCCAUGAUUGUAUAAAGCUUUAGCCUUUGGGGGGAAUUAGAGAUGUAAGAUUGAAGAAAAAUCAAGAGAUCGUCCAAGCAACUGAACCAAGUACCAUAGCUUUCUGCAGCAAAGUUGAAGACUUUCAGGGUAUUUCUUACUGACUUUUUCCUUCUUUUUUUUUUCUCUUUUUUUUAUUUUGUCUUUUGUGAGUUUGAGAUUUGUUGGGAGAGAGAUUAGGUGAGAAUGAAAGAAGAGAGGGAUGGAAGAGAAGCUUGUUUGUUAUAAAUGCAAAAAUAAUAAUAAUACUAAUACUUAAUAAUACGAGUGAUAGAAAGACUUGAAAUUCUGAAAACCGCAAGUCCCCAACUGAAUUGAGCUGCUAUUUAAUGUCUUUCUCUGUUCGCUUGGCUGUUUUCAACGGCAGGAGAGUGGAAACUUUUCCAUUAGUGACACCCUUUUCUUUCGUUACCUUUCGCUUUGUUCACGCAUGUUUCUGUCAGUGUCACCAGAGCAUAUCCCUCCUAUACUAUCAAAUUUUAUCCUUCAAUAGAUUUAACAAACUAAAACUCACAAUCUUGCCUAAGUAGCUCGCGUGUUUCUAAUAACAAUAUUUUCAUCUCAAUUAACAAUUUAAAAGUUAUUUUUAAAAUUUUCUCCGAUGAAUAAAUGAUUGGUAAGAAUUAACAAAAUCAUGUUUUGCUCAGUGAAAGAAGAACUCAGGUCCUUUAAAUAUUGAGUGUUCCAUCUUGUUAAUAGAAAAAUCUAUAUCUUUUCUCUCUUAUGAAUCAAAAAGAAAGAACCUUUAUAUAUAGAUUGAAGUAGCUUGGUCGGACAGGAGAAUGUGAUUUUUUUUUCUUUUCUUUUUUUUUUUUUUUUUAACUUUUUAGCAUCUUUUUCUUUUCUUUACAAAGUAAAAAAUGAGAUCAGUAAAUUAGAAAUAACUGGAAAAAUUUUAGAAAAUAAGCCAGACACGGGGACAUUUUUAAAUAGAAUAAUUAUCUUAAUUUGGAGGAAUUCAAUUAAGAUGCUUAAUUCAUACAAUCUGAAGAACGAAACUAGGAGAUAGGAAUGAUAUGAAUAGGGAAGUCUCCGUCCACCAUUUUUUUCUGAGAGCCAUGACUAUGUACGGGAAUAUCAAUGCACAAUUAUUUAUUACUCUAAAAUAAACGAAUUUAAAAAAACCUUUUUCAGAAAAGAGCUGCAUCAACAAAACACUAGGAGAUCCAACGUCUACAAUUAUACAUUAUGAAUGUGAAGAUAAUGACAUAUUUAGCUUGUCUCAUUAAUAAGUCAGCACCCCCUUCUAAUGGCCAACCUCUCCUGAUCAUCAUUCCAAAACCACCAGAUCUCUGUUCUGCUCAUGGAAGAAUCAAACAAGGGAGCUAAAAAAGACAUAAUCAGAUAUCCAUGAUGAAUAUCAUAGUUGCCAAGUUGUGAGCUAUAAAUUAUGACCAAAGACAAUGAUGAUAUCAAUUACUCAAAUUUAAUAUAACUUUCUUGCUCUUAUCUACCAGCGCUGUGUAAGCCUUAACAAGCUCCUCCUUAACCAUGAAAAGCACAGAAGCUGCAAAAACACUCUGUACUAUCUUUGUGCUCAUCCCCUUAUAAAAACCAGGCAACCCUUCAUAACGGAUCAUUUUAAUUAUCGCAUCAAGAGUACCUGCAUUUAUAACAUCAGAGGCAUCAACUUCCUUUGUUAUAACAAAGAGGAGGGAAAGUGAAAAUUGUGUGCUUCUCAAAGUUCAACCAUGUCAAACUGACAAUCCAAAGGGGAGCAAAAGCAACUGAAGCUGCAGGCUGUGCGAAAAUGAACUUGCAACUUCAACAGAUUAAUCCAUGAAUUUCGAUUAGUUAUAUAAUUAUGGCGAAAGAUGACACAUGGAGGAGCAAUCCCUUAAUUUCCAACAAAUUGAAAUAUGACAAGAAUUAGAAAUGCUAAUAUUUUUAGGGAAAUCUACAAGAGUGGAAUUUGUUGCUAACCACUAUACAUCAUUGACUUUCAAGUUUCAACUCAUAGCUCUAUCUUUCACUAGGCACCAUAGCAAAGCAUAUUUUUCAGAAAAAAAUAAAGCAAGUACUACAUGUAUCUAGAUCAAAAAAUUAAUAGGAGGAAGUAAAAAAUACAAAAACCAAUUUAUUAUAAGAUGAGAACGAAGCAAAGUUCAAAAGACUAAAAAGUUGAGUUGAUGUGCAAUAUGUGUCAAAACUUAUAGAUAUUUAUAAAUGGCCAAUUAUGUGUGCCUCUCUAAAGCAAACCUGAGUAUCUCAUUGAAGUAUUUCCGCCAAUCUCCUGUUUUGCUUGAAGUCUCGACUGCAAAUGAGGCAACACAGAAAUAAGAGACUUGAGCUAUACAUACAGAGCAGUGUUUUGUGUGUGCAUGUGUUGUCCCAAAAGUUAAAAAGAGUCCGGAAGAGCAAUCUGUAGAAAAUCAGUUUCUCAAAUACAUGUUAAUGCAAGCAGGAAAGUCAAUAUUAAUUCCUGAUGAAAACAAAGAACAUGAGCAUCUAUCUAAGGACAGCCUAUAAAUCUUGUGAGUUAUUGCAAAUGAAGAUGCCAGUGUAAAUCUUUUAAGAUAUUUCACAUGACAAGACUGAUGGGCAGGUAAAUUAUAUCCAAUAUUAUAUAAAAGGAGCAGCUAUUUUUCUGGUUUUGGCAAUAACGACCGGUGAUUUGUACUCAUUCUCUUCAUUAUAGUUUUAUUUUUUAAUAAUAAUAUAAAAUAAGUGAAAUUACCUUGACAACCAACAGGGGAUAUGUUGAGACAGUUGCUCCCAGCUUUGCCAAGGCUCCUAGUAAGAAGACCUUUACGCAUCGCAAGAAAUUUUCUAUGUUCACAAACCCAAAUAUUUUGCAAAAGACUGACAUAAGAUUAGAAAAACCUGAAACACUGAAAGCAACUACAUACCUGUAGAGCAGUAGGAUAUUUAUACCCCCGCUUGCUUGCGGAACGUCUUGCCCUUAGAUGCUUUAAUGAUGUCUCAUAAAUCAUGAACUGGAUCGAUGGAUUGCAUACCUAUGAUGCAUAAUUCCUAAUCAUAACAGGAGUAACUCAGUGGACUUCAUACAUAAUGGUGAUCAAAAUUGGGCUAACCAUAAUAAGCGUAGGAAUGAUGCCUUUCCAAAAUCCAGUAAUUCCAGCUUCAUUAUAAACUUCAUGUGCCUUGCAAUACAUACAAAUACAAGACAAACUAAAAUUAGCAUCUAAAACAUUAAAACUAACAGCAUGUUUGAUGUGAGAAUGAAAGGAAUGUAUCGUUAAUCUGCAUAUAAUAGAGUGUGUUGUUUGCAAAAAAUCAUGACCAGUAUUCCAUCAAGGUUCACAUAGCAAGGGAAAAAGAAGACUAAUAAGAACCAUGCCAUCUCAAGUUCAAUGUAAAUAAAUAAGCAUGAAUGGAACAACAUAGGAUCAGGAAAGAAAUGGUUACUAACCGCGUGUAAAGUACCAUAAGGACGAGGUUUUGUUGUGUCAAGUUCAGCCAAUUUGACCUGUACAGAUGGACUUAUUGAGCCACCUUCAGAAACUUCCCUUAAUAAAGCUUCUUUCUUUCCCUCCACAAUUUUUCUUUCUGCUUGGGUAUGUGUCUAGAAUCAAAAUGUAGCAUGUCAAGAAUAAUCUCCAUUCCACUCCAACAUGUAAACAUAGAAUCGAAAGGUUGCAUCAAUGCAAUACAACAAUAGUUGAUAAAGCAUUGAAAGAAUAUGAGCUCAAUCUAGUCCAUCUGUCUCAGAAUUAUGAAGCAAAAUUAUAAUUGUCAAUCAAUUGAAAUUCUGGUGAUGGUACAUCUGGUCAUGGAUACCAUGGUUAUAUACAGGUAUCUAGCUAUAUAAAUGUUUCGACAGCCAGUAGAGUUUCAAUUACAUAAUAUCAUAGUAAACAAAUGAAAUCCAAUCACUCAAAAUCAGAAUAAAACACCAGAAAACCCAGCUCUGCCCACCAGAAUAGAAGCCACGCAAUGUUGCAGGUGGGUACCUGUAUUGGCGUCAUCUUUUUAUGUUACCUUGUUUCUUCAUUUGAAUUGGUGUGCAAUUGUGUCGAAAAGUGACAUUCAAGAUAUCUUAUUUUGGUGCCGUGCAGUCAGAAUGCACAAAGGAUCCAGAUUAUGAACCGAACGAAGAAGUGUAUGGUCCAAAGUGGUUUUACACGAAAUCACUGGAAAAAUUAAAAUUAAAUCCAAGAAAAUAAUUGUAUUUAUGGGAAAAUAUCCACAGGCACCUGCAUACGAGUCACAAGAACCCAUAUUGGGUUUGUCAGCAAUACAUUCAAUGACCUGCAAAAUUAUGAUAAGAAAGAGUCAGACACCAUUACCUCUCCUUAUUAUUGCUAAAGCUGGGUACAAUCCUAAAUGCAAUUGCAAAAUAGCUAUGUAUUUGUCCUUGAUAAUGGUCCAUCUUUGACACUGUCUAAUUAAUACAAGCAGCCACUAAUUAAGAGGGCACUCACCCAGCUAAAGCAGCCACAACAAGCCAAGAAAACAUGCCGACAGUACCAUCUCCACGCCCUUUGGCUUUGUGAGCAGCUGCAAUGGCCUCAGCCUUGUUCUUGAAAACUUGAUAAAAGUAGUAAUAAAUUCCCUGGCAGCAUGCAAAAGAAGGUUAUAGGAUUAUGACCAACAAUUGAUCAAAUCCAAAAAUAAUCUAAAACUUUUUAUUUUGAACUUCUUAUAAAAGGAAAUGGCACCAACUAAUUUGGAAUUAAAGCUUAGUUGUCAUAGACAAUGUCAGCAAAAUUUAUAGGAAAAGAGAUCUUUACUGAGUGGUCAUUUCCAUCGUAGAUGGAUUUGAACUGGGCACGUUUUUUUUUCUCUGACACACUAGAUGUGUUGUACUUGUUCAGUCAUUGCAACAUGAAAUCCCUCAACGAGCUUUACAAGAUUAUUAAAGCAUGCAAGAUCAGCAGCAGAUGUCAAAGAGAAAUUGACAGGACAAAUCAUUAACAACUACUGCAAAAGGAAUUUCAGUCUCUGGCCUCGAAUGUUACAUGAGCACAAAGCAUCUAAAAGUGGGUGUAAAAAGCAUUACUCAUAUCCAAGUGCAUUAGUCGUUAAAAGGCAAGGCGAUCUAGGAAAUGCGAGGUUAAUUUGAAAUUGAAGAUAAUCGUUACAGACUCACAGUAGGAUACAUAUAUAUAACAUUGAAAUGAAUAUAAAAUGUGGACAAAGAGGAACAAAGUACAGAAGCAAUACGAAUUUAGCGACGCAGGACUGACCUGAGAAGCAGCAGUUCCAAACAGAGAAGGUUUCAGGCCGCUAUAAAGCCCACCCCAACCUUCGGCUUUAAUGACCUGGUAAUGUAAAACUAGGAUCCAUUAAUUGGACAUCUGAAAUAUCAAAAUAGAAUAUCAAAUUUCGGAACUAUUUAAGUUCAAAAAAAAAAAAAUCCUGGACUAGUUUGUUGGGUAAAUGGUACUUGGUACCUGAAGUACUUGGAAAAGAGUGCCAGUUGCAGGGCGUUGAGGAUGAGAAUCACCGUGUAGGCCUUCAUCAUCCUUCCUCUUCUUCUUGGCCAGUCUCUCCGUUUGCUGGCGUGUAUUUACCUGGAAAUUUUCAUUCGAUUAAAAAAAAAAAAAAAACACAAACAAACAGACACAGAACAGAGGAUAGAAAGAAAGAGUUACAGUUUGGAGAGGAUAAGUGAUUAUCUGGGCAAUAAUACCACCACCAGCUCCCGCUAGGCCAUUCGCUACUGCGUCUGACUUUGACAUGCUUUUCAGCUCAACGACUUUCUCCUCUCCUCUAAUUCCUCCCCUGCUGUGUUGAUGCUUUAUUAUAUUGAUAUUAUUAUUGCAAAAACGGGCAAAACUGCGGUAUAAAUUAAAACUUUUAAAUAUAAGUCAUAGAUUUAAAAAUAUUUAAAUAACUUUUUCAUCUUUAAAUCAAAUUACAUUUACUUAUUAUUAUUAUUUUUAAAAUUUAAAGGGACAUCAACACAUUAUAUCAAUUAUUUUUUGCAUUAUAUCAAUUACUUUUUAACGAACAAACAAUAAAUAUAUAGAUAUUAAUUAGAAAUUUCAAUAUUCAUAUAUAACUUUUUAUUGUAAAUUUCAAUUCAUAAAGAGUUGUAUAAUUAUGAAAUUUCAAUUAUCAACUUUCUAAAUCUCUCUUUAUAUAUACAUAUUUCUAUUCCUAUUUUUGUUUAAUAUAUACAUUUUUUUAAAGUCCUAAUUUUAUUGUAUUUACAACUAAUUUUGCAUCAUUUAAUUUGAAGUGAAAUUGGUUGUUAUGUUUUUAUAUGUUGUUAUAUAAUUAAAGAGCAUUUCAUAAUCUCAUUUUUAAUAUUGUAUAUGAUUUUUUUUGAAUAAAGAAUAAAUUUAGAAUUAUGUUCUAGUCAAAAAAAAAUAUUUAGAAUAUAUAUGCAGUCUUAAAAAUUAGGUAUGACCAUAGUUCAAUUUCAAAUCAGAACUGAACAUUUGAAAUCGAACCGUAAUUGAAGCCGUAAAUUUAAAGUUCAAUUCCGGUUCUUCAUUUUUUGAAACUGAAACUGGCGGUUCCGGUUUAAAACCGUGAAAAACAUGUUUUUAAAGAAACACCCAAUUUAUUUUUUUAUUUUAUUAUAUUUUUUUUAAGUAAUUUCUAAGAAUUUUUAUUAAAUUGAUUUAGUUUUUUUCAACAGUAAUAUUUAUUUUAAUUAUUUAUUCUACCUAUAAAUCUUUAAAAAUUAUUUUAAAAAUUUUAAAAUAUAUUAUUUAAUUUUGGUUCGAAAUCGAAAAAAAAUCGAAAUUUGCAGUUUCGAAACCGUCUGAGAAACCGUUUAAAAGCGGUUCAGUUUCGAUUUCACCUUUUUUAUAAACUGUUAACUGGAAGGUCGUGCCUGUUAAAGAUAAAUAAAAGUUAUUUUAAAGAAAAUAAAAGAAAAAUUAAUAACAUAAAAAAUUAUUUUGUUUGGAAAAAAAGAAAAGAAUAAAAGAUUAUUUAAUGGCUAUGGCGGUAAUAUUAGUUGAUAUGUUGAGCUGUAACUUAAAUUGUACACUAGUAAAAGCAUAGUUUGAGGAUUAGAAUUUUAUGUUGUAUACUUAAUUAAUAUGUUAUAUUUUGGAUGUAAUUUUUAUUUUAAAUUUCUAAUAAGUUUAAUUUAAUUUUCAAUUUUUUCAAAUUUAAUAAAUUACUUUUUCUAGUAAACUUCUAUAAAUUACCAUUUGAAUUCAUUUAGAAACAUAAACCCCACAGGAAAAAAAAAAUAUAAAAGUUUCAUUUUCUAGAAAAGCUUUUUGAAAAAUAAAAAUAAUGUUCAAAUCAGUCAAUUUACUAUGUAUAAAUUUAUUUUCUACAAGUAAAGCACACUUUAAUUGUAAUUUUUUUGGAUGAUCUACUGAGUUUAAGUCUUUUCAAAUUGAAAAUAGAUAUACAGAUACAUGUAUGUGUGUGUGAAAUAUCCCGAAUUUUUAUUUUCAAAACUUAGGAAAUUUUAUUAAAUCAAAAAUCUGAAUUUUUGAUAGUAUGGGUUGUAAAGAUCGAGCAAUUCUAAUUUGAGCCCAAAGUUUUACGAGUUGGGCCCAAGCCCAAAUAAAAUGUCGAAAAUUUCGAAUCGUAAACAGUUAAAGUUUUCGAGAAAUAAUAUAAAAUCCCAGCGAUUAAUAUAUAUAUAUUUACCCUAAAAAAACAAAUCUCCUUACUAAUUAUAGUUUAUUUUUAUUUUUAUAUUUUAUUUUGGUUAAAGGAGGAAAUGUUACAGAACUUAAUUAAAAUAAUCAAAUGAAUUGAACCGGAUUCAGAAAUCAAAUUGAUUUUUCAAAAACCACACGAAUAAUUGGAAAACCAAGUGAAAANNNNNNNNNNNNNNNNNNNNNNNNNNNNNNNNNNNNNNNNNNNNNNNNNNNNNNNNNNNNNNNNNNNNNNNNNNNNNNNNNNNNNNNNNNNNNNNNNNNNNNNNNNNNNNNNNNNNNNNNNNNNNNNNNNNNNNNNNNNNNNNNNNNNNNNNNNNNNNNNNNNNNNNNNNNNNNNNNNNNNNNNNNNNNNNNNNNNNNNNNNNNNNNNNNNNNNNNNNNNNNNNNNNNNNNNNNNNNNNNNNNNNNNNNNNNNNNNNNNNNNNNNNNNNNNNNNNNNNNNNNNNNNNNNNNNNNNNNNNNNNNNNNNNNNNNNNNNNNNNNNNNNNNNNNNNNNNNNNNNNNNNNNNNNNNNNNNNNNNNNNNNNNNNNNNNNNNNNNNNNNNNNNNNNNNNNNNNNNNNNNNNNNNNNNNNNNNNNNNNNNNNNNNNNNNNNNNNNNNNNNNNNNNNNNNNNNNNNNNNNNNNNNNNNNNNNNNNNNNNNNNNNNNNNNNNNNNNNNNNNNNNNNNNNNNNNNNNNNNNNNNNNNNNNNNNNNNNNNNNNNNNNNNNNNNNNNNNNNNNNNNNNNNNNNNNNNNNNNNNNNNNNNNNNNNNNNNNNNNNNNNNNNNNNNNNNNNNNNNNNNNNNNNNNNNNNNNNNNNNNNNNNNNNNNNNNNNNNNNNNNNNNNNNNNNNNNNNNNNNNNNNNNNNNNNNNNNNNNNNNNNNNNNNNNNNNNNNNNNNNNNNNNNNNNNNNNNNNNNNNNNNNNNNNNNNNNNNNNNNNNNNNNNNNNNNNNNNNNNNNNNNNNNNNNNNNNNNNNNNNNNNNNNNNNNNNNNNNNNNNNNNNNNNNNNNNNNNNNNNNNNNNNNNNNNNNNNNNNNNNNNNNNNNNNNNNNNNNNNNNNNNNNNNNNNNNNNNNNNNNNNNNNNNNNNNNNNNNNNNNNNNNNNNNNNNNNNNNNNNNNNNNNNNNNNNNNNNNNNNNNNNNNNNNNNNNNNNNNNNNNNNNNNNNNNNNNNNNNNNNNNNNNNNNNNNNNNNNNNNNNNNNNNNNNNNNNNNNNNNNNNNNNNNNNNNNNNNNNNNNNNNNNNNNNNNNNNNNNNNNNNNNNNNNNNNNNNNNNNNNNNNNNNNNNNNNNNNNNNNNNNNNNNNNNNNNNNNNNNNNNNNNNNNNNNNNNNNNNNNNNNNNNNNNNNNNNNNNNNNNNNNNNNNNNNNNNNNNNNNNNNNNNNNNNNNNNNNNNNNNNNNNNNNNNNNNNNNNNNNNNNNNNNNNNNNNNNNNNNNNNNNNNNNNNNNNNNNNNNNNNNNNNNNNNNNNNNNNNNNNNNNNNNNNNNNNNNNNNNNNNNNNNNNNNNNNNNNNNNNNNNNNNNNNNNNNNNNNNNNNNNNNNNNNNNNNNNNNNNNNNNNNNNNNNNNNNNNNNNNNNNNNNNNNNNNNNNNNNNNNNNNNNNNNNNNNNNNNNNNNNNNNNNNNNNNNNNNNNNNNNNNNNNNNNNNNNNNNNNNNNNNNNNNNNNNNNNNNNNNNNNNNNNNNNNNNNNNNNNNNNNNNNNNNNNNNNNNNNNNNNNNNNNNNNNNNNNNNNNNNNNNNNNNNNNNNNNNNNNNNNNNNNNNNNNNNNNNNNNNNNNNNNNNNNNNNNNNNNNNNNNNNNNNNNNNNNNNNNNNNNNNNNNNNNNNNNNNNNNNNNNNNNNNNNNNNNNNNNNNNNNNNNNNNNNNNNNNNNNNNNNNNNNNNNNNNNNNNNNNNNNNNNNNNNNNNNNNNNNNNNNNNNNNNNNNNNNNNNNNNNNNNNNNNNNNNNNNNNNNNNNNNNNNNNNNNNNNNNNNNNNNNNNNNNNNNNNNNNNNNNNNNNNNNNNNNNNNNNNNNNNNNNNNNNNNNNNNNNNNNNNNNNNNNNNNNNNNNNNNNNNNNNNNNNNNNNNNNNNNNNNNNNNNNNNNNNNNNNNNNNNNNNNNNNNNNNNNNNNNNNNNNNUCGGUUAAGCUAUGUUCCUUCGUCGCAGAGCUAGAAAGAAAAUUUUUCCUAGACCAAUAAAUAUUUUGCUAUGUAUCUAGAUAUAUAAAAAUCUAUGUAUAUCUAUUAGUUAGUGAUUCCGCAGUUGUAGAAUUUGCGUACAAUUAGUCGUGUAUUAACAUAGACGAUAUAAUUAUGUGAGCCCAUAUUAAAAAUGUGAUGUACUAUUAAUUGGGUCCGAACCGUGGAAUGUUGUAGCUGAUAAAUUUGGGCCGAGAUUUAAAAAUAAGAAUUGAGGUUUAUUUUUUUUUAUAAUAUGAGCUGAAUGUUUGAAAUUUAUAUUGAAAUAAUAAAUUUUAGUGAUUCAGGCUUACUACGGGCCUCGGGAGCCUUAAGCUUACCUGGGCUCUAGUGCCGGUCCGGCCCGCGGAAACGGGUCGUGACAGUGUGUUAUUAGUAAUUUAUAAGAUAUCCAUAAAUUUAAUACUGUCCAUUUACCGAUUGUAAAAAUGCCCCCAUAAUGCAGAGCCAAAUAUUAAUAAUAUAAUAAUUUAUUUUAAAUAAGGCUUUGGACUUUAGAACAUCAAAUUUUAUUUUAUCAUUGAGUUGUUGAAAUCUUUUUGAAGGUGAAAAUAGAAAUUAUUAUUAACUUAAAUAAUUCAGAAUAGCAUGAAUAAUAAUAUUAGUCGAGACAUGACUCACUUUCAAAUAUCAGACAUUCAAUAAAUAAGAAGAUGAUGUAAAAUUAUAAAUUAUUAGUUAAAUUAUGAUACUAUCUAUAUAUGAAGUAUACAAAAGGACAAUAUUGUAAAUUUGUAGUGAUAUAUUUUCUUUCUUUUAUUUUCCUUCAAUCUAAAUAUAAGGAUGGAAAAUAAAUAAUAAACAAGAGUUGGACCAAAUUAUAAGGUAAAGCCAACAAAUAGUAAAAUACAAAUAAAUUUAAAUAAAAUAUAGUUAUGGUAAGAAAAUAACCAUAAAAAAAUUAAAUAUACUUAGUAACAUGUCCAAACAGCAACAUUUCAGAACAAAUUUAAUAAUAAUAAUAAUAAUAAUAAUAAUAAUAAUAAUUUAAACAAUAUCACUAAAUCUAGUAAUAAAAAAUGUAACUAAUAAAAUUAAAUACAUGAUACUGAACACCUCAUAAUUAAGAUAAAAAGAAAUAUUUACUACUAAUAAUAAUAAGUACAACCAAUAAACUAAUAAAUACAACCAAUAAACAUAAUUACUCCUUUUGUCCUAUACAAAUAAAUUUUGCUUUUCUUUUUCAUCAAUUUUAAAAUAUAAUUCUAUUUCCUUUUUAAAACAUCAUUUAUUGUUUGAUUUCUUAAUAUAUUGUAUAUUGAUAAUCUCAAUCGUAUAUACUACUACAAGGGUCGGAAAGAGGAAAAUACAAAAACUGAAAAAACCGAUAAAAGUAUGCCCAAUAGGGAUUAGAAGGUACAACACGGUAGAAGCAUACGAGUAUGCUACGAACGAAAUGGUACAACGCGGAAGGCAGGUGGUAGUCAACGCCAAAAAAAUGAAAAGAUGGCUGCGAAAUUUGGGUAUAGCAAAGCGAUAUGACCUUCGGCCUGCGCGACUUUUUUUACCGCAACAGCAAGCGAACAAGGAGAAUCUGUUUAUCAUCAUCAUCUUCUUCUUCUUCUUCUUCUUCUUUUCUUUUUCGUCAUUGUUAUCGGUCCUUUCAUCCAUCUACUGUAUUUUCUCAUUUUAUUUUUAAAUUUGCAGUAGUUAUAUUUAAGCUUGUCUUCUUCCAUAUAAAUCGAUUAAUUGGUUAAUCUGAGAGAAAUUCGGUUGGGAUAAGAUUACUAUUUGCAGUAAUUUUCCCUUGUUAAUACUACUACAUAAGCACAUACCUCUUAUAAACACAAGAACAAGGAAAGUAGUGAUCGAUCCGACGGAAAAUGGUAAAGGAGACAGAGUACUACGACGUGCUUGGGGUCAGCCCCACCGCCACUGAGGCGGAGAUCAAGAAAGCUUAUUACAUCAAGGUAGAUUCUUCCCUUGCCAUUUCCAAUUUCAAUUUCUAGCUACCUUUGCGAUUGCAUAUCAUUCUAAUCUCUACUUUUGUGAAAAUACAUGCCAUGUAGAUCUCUAGAGUUGGACUGGAUCUGUUGCUUGUCUUAUUUUUAUAUCUGGAUUUUUUUUAAAAAUUCUAAAUUGAUAAUUCACUCCUAUGACUGUCUUUCUGCUCUUAUAUUUGGCUUCGCGUUCAAUAUUCAUCAGGUCCCAUUCCCCUUUUUUUUAUAUCUUCCACAUGUUGCGUCUAUUGUGAUUUCCUUGUUAAUUCUUUUUUUUUUUUUGCCUCCUUUUUUUUGGCUUGCAGGCACGACAGGUUCAUCCAGAUAAAAAUCCCAAUGAUCCUCUUGCUGCACAAAAUUUCCAGGCAAGUUGCAUUUUCCUUUACUUAUGAGAAACUUUUUUUAGUAUGAAGACAGUGUUCUAUUUCCUCCAUGAAUAUUUGAAUACUACUGGAUUAGCUUGGCUCCUUUUCCUUUGAACUAUAUUGCAGCUCAAACUUAUUUGCUUUCUUCUCCCUCUCCUUCAAUGACCCCAUUGCAAUUGACCUUUUGCUCGUGGUUUAAUUGUUAAAUCACCAUACCAAACAUGCUCAUACUUUCUCCUAUACCCUUGCUGCAAAAUCCAUCAUGGUUUUAUGUCCAUUCGCCACCAGUUUGCAAGUAAAACUUGUACUAACAAUCAUAGAAAUGAAAUAAAAUCUUACAAAAAGUACUCCAACUACCAUGGAGAUUCAGUUCAACAUUCAUAGCUAAUUGGUAUGAGAAACUGUUGUCAGUUUUUGGGCUUGUGGAACUUAGAAGUGCUUGUAUAAAAUAUGGAAGUGCAAACUCAUGUUUCUUUGUAUGUUAUUCUAAUCUCUUGUUUACUUCCUUUAACCAGACUAUUGGGGGAAUACACGUUUAAAAGAUCAGCAGGAAAAAUAACGUUGUUGGAUAUAUGUUUUUUAAUGCCUUAUUGAAGUCUUGUUCAUUUGAAUUCAGGUUUUGGGGGAGGCAUACCAAGUGUUGAGUGAUCCUGCUCAACGGCAAGCAUAUGAUGCUUAUGGGAAAUCUGGAAUUUCAACGUUAGUUUCUUCUUCUUAAUCUUUGAGUAGGUGAAGUCAAGGUCUAUAAGAUGUGAAUCAUGCAUUUCUUUGAGAUGGCAAUUUCACCCAUUCCAUUGGGUUUUAUCUACUUGCCCCCACCAAAGGUAGCAGAAGGAGGAUGAGUUUGGGCCACCCUAAAUCAUCAUCCUGUUUCUGUUUGAUUUUAACAAGUAUAAAUAUGUGAAUGAUAUGGCAUUUAUUACCCAACACAAUUCUUUAAAUAUUCACCAGUAAUAUUCAUAAUGUGAUAAAUAAUAACGCAUCCUUAAUUAUAUAUGAAACACAUUCUUUAAAUAAUUUUCAACAUUAUAAAAAUAAAAUGUACUUUCCUACUCAUGUAAAUCUUGACAAUUUUCUGGUUUGCUUUGACCUUCACUUAUGAUCAUUACUGUUUACUUGCAGUGAAGCAAUUAUUGAUCCUGCAGCAAUUUUUGCAAUGCUUUUUGGUAGUGAACUUUUUGAGGACUACAUAGGACAGCUUGCCAUGGCUUCGAUGGCUUCAUUAGACAUUUUCACAGAGGGAGAACAGUUUGAUACAAAAAAACUACAAGAAAAAAUGAGGGUACACUUUUUCUAGCAUUUCAUCGCUUAUCAUCAACCUGACCAUGCGAACUUGUAACAGCAGUGGGUUCCAUCAUCUGGUUGUUCUAUGAAAUUAUGAUACCAUUACAUUGUGAACAAACCAGUUUGUUUCUCUGUGCAAAACAAAAUCAGAUUUGUGUUUAGUUCUAGUGAUGAAGCAUUUUCACUGUACCCUAAGUCUUUCCUGAGCCUAUUGCAAAUUUGUUUUACCAUAGGUUGUUCAGAAGGAGAGAGAAGAAAAGCUUGCCCAGAUAUUGAAAGAUCGACUUAACCAAUAUGUGCAAGGGAACACAAAGGAGUUCAGUUGUCAUGCUGAAGCUGAAGUAACUAGGCUCUCAAAUGCAGGUAUUUUAUCAUUGUCUCUAAAUUACUGCAUAAGUGUGCGAGGAAAAGUGGGUGGAUUCAAAAUAAUAGGAUCAAGGAAGGAAGAGGUAGACUGAAAAUAUGUGAGAUGAAGUAGCAAAAGUUGAUUUAAUACUUCAAUAAGUAACAGAAAAACGAACAAAAUGGAGCAAAUGAUCAUAUAGGGGCAACUCCAACUAGUUUGAGGCAAUAGUUUAUUAUGCUUUUUUGGCUUGUUUUGGUUGGGCCAUAUGACAUGGAUGCAGAGACUUUGGUAGCAAAUUAGAGCUUGAUAUUCCUUUUGAUGCUCAUGAUUCUUCUGCUUAGAAAAGAUGGAAUUGCAAGGCAUGCGUCUAAAAUGAAUAGGACAUGGUGACUGGAGAGGAAGGGAUCGUGGAAGAUGCUAUUGGUCCUACAGCAUAUCUAUGCUUUAAUACACAAGCAGGAUGGGGAACUAAGUCUUAUCUUGUAUAUACUAUUAUGUAAUAGGUAUAUAUUAAUAUAUAAAUUAAUUUAUAUAAUAUUUAUAUAUUAGUAUAUAAUUUAAUGUAUAUAUAACUAAUUACUUGUGCCAAUCCAUGUACUCCUUGACUUGAAAUCCACAUCCAAAAGAAGUUCAACCACCUGUUCCAUAUCUUCAGGAUGGAAGAAGCACUCGGAAAGCCAAAGGAAUACGAAGACAACUUCCAAAUCAGUGGUUCUAGUAGCUUUUUAUUCUGAACUUAUUCAGAAGUAGACACUUGAAAUACCAUUAAUUUAGUUUCACUACAGUACCGUUGUAGUUGCAGUAAAACUUUCUUUUAUACUAUUUGGAUUCUUUUACUUUUCUAAUUGUCUUAGGAUCAAUGUAUUAUGAAUUACUAGUGGCUUCUAGAUCCACAUAGAACAAGAGCCAGAGUUUAUGAAAAUAUUUGCUUAAUGGCGCAAGGGUUAAACUUUUAAUUAUAGAAUCUCUGGAACUUGUGUUUCAUAACGAUCUCUUUUUUGUUCUUAUUUUUGUUUGAACCUGUUUUAAAAUCAUUAUUGCAAACAGCUGACGGCUUUUUCAUUAACUUUGCAUCCUAUUUACUGCAGCAUAUGGUGUUGAUAUGUUGAAUACAAUUGGUUAUAUUUAUGCAAGACAAGCGGCCAAGGAGCUUGGAAAGAAAGCCUUAUAUUUGGGUGUGCCAUUCAUUGCGGAAUGGUUUAGAAACAAAGGCCACUUCAUCAAAUCCCAAGUAACUGCAGCAACAGGUUAGUAGACACUACUGGCUUUGGUGGUCAAUGACUGUGUCUAAGUCAUUAAUCUUUUGGCCUUGGUCAAAGCUCUGUUGGCUAUUGGACCACUGGCCAGGAUUGACUAGUAGAACAAAAGUGAGAUUUAAUUGGAUGUGCUCUCAGCAAGCAAAAUGUACCUGAGCUCUCUGUUCCAUCAAUUUGCAUUUUUAUGUAGUGCACUAGCAUUUUUUUGUUCCUUUUCCCUUUGAUUGACCAACUGCUAGAAAGAGAGUGACAAACUUUUGUCACAAUUUGGACUUUGUUCCCAUUAAUUGGAAAUUGUAAAAUGUUAAUGAACCAUGCCCCUUCUACUUCAAUUAACUUUACACAAUGAAAUUAUAUAUUCAGUUAAACAUAAUGCUUCAUGUAUUUGCUUGUCAAGGUAAAUAUUCCGUACUGUCACACCUACUGUGCAUAUUUAAAAUUAAAUGGCCUGGUUUAAAAAUUCAUCCUAAAAUGGUGGUUCAAUCUUCUGCAAGGAACAUUCCAAAUUGUCUUGGAGUUUGAUGUUAAUAAAAAUCAGUUGAAGCAUUUGCUUCACUUAAGUUGCUUCGAAAAAUCUAUUUAGUUAUGUAUUCUCUUACCAUUUUUCCUGACUGGUGGUGCUAGGCGCCAUCGCCCUGAUCCAGCUUCAGGAAGACAUGAAGAAACAGCUCAGUGCAGAGGGGAACUAUACCGAGGAAGAGCUCGAGGAAUAUAUGCAAUCCCACAAGAAGUUAAUGAUUGAUUCCUUGUGGAAGCUUAACGUUGCUGAUAUUGAGGCCACUCUUUCCCGUGUUUGUCAGAUGGUUGUUUAGCUCGUCUUUGGAUAUUAAUGGUUGUUGGAUCACAUUGAUUUAGACACUAUGUUUGUUUGGCAGUAAUUCGUUGGUGAUUUGUUUUAGGUUCUUCAAGAUAACACUGUCAAGAAAGAAGAGCUCCGUGCACGAGCUAAGGGGUUGAAAACUCUUGGUAAAAUCUUCCAGGUAUUUUCCCUUAGUUCCUGCCCUUUAUCUUCUAAUAUAAAUGUCCAAUUCAUCAGGUACCUGAAACUUUUGAAAGUUCUUUGUAUGUAGAGGGUGAAGUCAUCCAACGGAAGUGAGAGUGACCCUGUGCUAGAUGGUACCCUGCACAAACUGAAUGGAAGUGAAGUGAGCCAUGACAUAUCUUGUCCUAGCACAUCACCAAAAUCUAGAAAUCUGGAAGAGCCAUCUUAUAGUACAUUGGCAUCGCAGGUAUGUUUCUCCUCCCUGAAAAAUGGUCCAGACUAGGAUACCAUUCAAGAAUUUCUAUUUUAUUUUAUUUUUUGUUGUUUCAUAUGUUUGAUGUCGAGAACAAUUCAUCUGUUUAUUUUUAUAUGGUGUUGACCUGUAUGACUAUGACCCAUAGUUAAAAAACAUUUCAGAAAAGUCAAAUACAAAACUUGGUGUAAUCUUAAUUUCUUGCCAGUCACCAUGAUUCUAGACCUUUUUUCUUAAGAAAAAAGCUGAAAGGAGUUAUGGUACACAUGCACCUGCUAACAUAUCAGACCUAUUCUAUUGACAAAAUACAAUAUCUUAUGUUGGGCUGUCUCAAGAUUGUGUAUAUCUUUGUACAUUCAGUCAAAUCGCUUCUUCUUACUGCCGUGUGUAUGUGUUUUUGUGUGCUCAAGAGUCAAACCCUUCAAAAACCUCUAUACCUAGAAAAUCCCUAUUUUUGUGUGUUGAAGACAACAUUAAAAAAGACUGAGCAUUGGAUUGAGCAAGGACAGUUAUGUUAUUUUCUUUGGAAGCAAAGACGACAGAUUUGGUGUUUUCUCAAUUUUGGUUUCAAGGAGCCAAUACUUUCUUCUGAUUGAUUGAGUUCACUUGGUUCAAGUGUGGAUUCUCAAGCAUAGUUCAGGUUGCUUACUAGCACAAAAGUUACCUGACUUGAGCUUAUUCAUUAAGAAGGUGUCCACCAUCAUUGACCAAAGAUGUAUUAGCCUAUUAGAAUGAAUUGAAGAUUACAGUUUUAUUUUUUGAGUGCUAGGGGCCCAAUUUCUCCCUAGUUUCUCUUGAAUUCUCUAUAUUUUGAAUCCUUACCAAUUCUUCUGAUAUAAUCUGUUGUCUAUCUGAUGCCCGACAGCUAGCUGCUUCCCUUGUCUUUCCUGUCCUAGUGCUUUUCGCAAGCUUAUUUUCUCCCUCCAACUUGCUGAAUUCUCAUCUUCUAACUCAAUUCCAAUUUGAUUCCUCAGAAACUGAGAAUCCUUUCUCGGCCCAUGGACAUCUCUUAAACACAUGUUUCCUUUUUUUUUUUUUUUUUUCGCAUGCUUGCUAUUCCCUAUCCUCCCAUCAAGAGAGCAUCAAUUUUUCUAUACAUGCUCCACAUAUACACGGCAUGCUCACUGCCGUAGAUGGAAAUGGAAUCACCUUUCUUUCUUCUUCUUCUUCUUCUUCUUCCUUUUUUUUUUUUUUGUUGUUGUCAUGAAUAUCUAUCUUUUUUGCUAACUUACCAAAAUAGAAGUAUUGUAUAGAAUCUUGACUCAAGUAGACAUGUUGAUGCUGCUAGCUGAGUCCUGAGCCUUGGCUCUGGUGGUUCCGGUUAAUCAGUUUUGGUCUAUCUAAGGUUUAAGCACUGCCUAACUAAAGUAAAUAAAUAAGUCAAUCAAUAAAACUGAUAUAAUGUUAAUUUGAUAACUAUGUUUGCUAUAUAGUGGAUUGGGUUUUUUAUAUUCCACACGGUUUUUACAUUUGAAAAAGAGGAGGAUGAUCAUGGGAAGUAAAUUCACUCUUAUUCAUCUUGCUUUCUGUCAUUUCUCAUUCACAAUAUUGAUUUAUUAUUUCUCUUACACUUACAAAAUUGUUGGACACCAUAGAGCCCCUAUGUGGAGGCUCCAAACUUUGCUGGCGCCCAGUUUGACAACUUCCCAAGGCCAACAGCACCACCAGGUGCAUCAAAACAUUCUUCAACAGGUGGUGACUGAGGAUGGAACAGUAUGAUCACAUUGCUUUUUCGCUUGUAUGCAUGUCUUGUAUGUUGUGCACCAUGGAAGGCUGUUGGAUUUUCAUUUCAUUGAUGUGUUUCAGUAGGUGAUCUGGAAAGCACAUCACACCUCCAUGUUAGCAGGCAUUAAAUGAUGUAUGUAUGAAACACAAUUAUUUAUACAGAGAGGAAAGUAUAGAUGAUUGUAAUUUUUUUCCCGUCUGUAGAUGGCUGCUAUUGGGUUCCUUGUAUUAUCCUGUAGUUUAUCUGUUUUGGUUUGACGUAACAUUCAGGUUCAGGGUUUUUGGUUAGUUUAUUUGUUUCUUGGUGAUUUAAUGUAUUAUUAUUUCUUUUUUAAGUAGGCAAAGUACUUUGGGCUAUGGAGAUAUUGUAAUUUUCCCCAAUCUGUAGCUGAAUGAUGCAAAGUAAGAUAUGUUUAGAUGAGGAAUACUCUGCUGUCUGCUGAACUUCAGUAGAUAGUAGGAUAUCUUUUUGGCAAAGCGGUAUAGAAUUUAUCAAGCAAUAUAUAUUAAUAAAAUGUCUUAGAAUAUUAGUGAUUUUGAGAAAAGAAAGAAGCCAAUUCCCUGCAGCUGAAAUUUUCCAGUUAUCACAAGUAAUACUGGUAGGCGCUGAUCCCAUUGAUUGAAAAGGAACAAAAUUCAUUUUGCACCACGAUUAAAGAAAUGGUUAAACUAAAUUUUUUUUCAUUUUGCACCUCGACGCAUGAAUCGAAUAUAAUAAAUGUAAUGAAAAUGCAAGGUAGAGAACGGGACGAGCAAUAUAAGGCAGAGAGUGAAGAGAAGAGUCUUAAGUUAAAAUUUGUUUAUCAAGGAGAGACUCGUACUUAAACCUCAUGAAUUUUAAAGUAACCAAUAUCACCUAAGUUGUUUUGGUUUUCAUUUUUAGAUAGAAGGAAAGAAAAUAAAAAUAAACGGGUAAGCAGGCACUAACUAAGUCUAAGAAGAAAAGAUUGGAAAAUAAUUUAAACGGUCAAAAGUAAGGUUGGUAACGGAAAGAUCCAAGAGUAAUGUAAUAACAGUUAAAAAUGACGGAAAAUUUAAUAAAAUAAAAUACUAUCAAAUAGGUUGUUAGGUAACAGGCAAGGAAAGGGAAAUUAGGAAUUUGACAACGGCAUCUAAGGGGUGAAAAAGAUUAGAUUAGACCUCAAAAACGAGAUAAAUCAAUAAACCUUAAAAAGAGAGAGUAAGAAAGGAGUUGGAGUUUGAGUUGAAGGAAGAUUGGGGAUAGAUAAAAGAUUUUGAGAGCGAGACUCCCCUUUCCGGACACCAUUUCUCCUCCUGCAUUCUGCUGAUACAGACUCCAUUACCUAUUUGCAUUUUCCUUUCCCAUUUCUAUCUAUUCUCUGUAAUAUAAUAGGAAACUCUUUCUUCUACCAUCCAUUACCUCAUAUCUCCACUUCCAAAUCUAUCAAUUUCAUCUAUUUGAUCUCGCCAGAGACAAUUGAUGCACGUUUUGUGACUUGGGAAAAUCAGCCGACCAGAAAAGCCCAAAGCGCGUUUCCUCGUCUCUUCCCUUCUUUUUCUCUCCCUAGAGAAUUGAAGGAAAGAGAUCCGUUUCUAUCUGCAUAAAUAAACAGAUCCUUCGCAAUUUUGAGAUUGAAGGAAAAAGAAGCAGCAUGGAGGGCGAGAACAAGAAGUCGGCUGUAUCGGAUGUUGGAGCUUGGGCCAUGAAUGUUAUCAGUUCCGUCGGAAUCAUCAUGGCCAAUAAGCAGCUUAUGUCUAGUAGUGGUUAUGCUUUCAGUUUUGGUACGAUGUUCUUUUCUUAUGUUCUCUCAAUUCUUAUCUUAGAUAAAUUUUAUUUACCUAACUGGAAAAUAGAAAAACGGAGAGAUCCCCCAGAUCUCAGAUCUCACGUUUAUCUUGAUUUGAACUUGUAAUGAACCGAUCGGAUAAUGUUAACUGAAUAGUUUAAUUUCUUCCAGCCACGACAUUAACGGGUUUCCACUUUGCGGUAACUGCGCUGGUUGGAUUGGUGUCCAAUGCGACUGGCUUAUCUGCAUCAAAGCAUGUCCCAAUGUGGGAGCUUCUCUGGUUCUCCAUUGUUGCCAAUAUGUCUAUCACUGGCAUGAACUUCAGCCUUAUGCUUAACUCUGUUGGAUUUUAUCAAGUGCGUUCUCUUCCCCUUUCCCUUUCUUUCUAUUAUACUUCUAGAAUCAACUAAACUAACUAACAAUUAACAAAUCAGAUCUAUUUUUCUUCCAUUCAUUAUUAAAUCAUCAGCUAAUAAUAUCUGAUCGAUUGUUCACUGCCCAGAUUUCUAAACUCAGCAUGAUCCCAGUGGUUUGUAUCAUGGAAUGGAUCCUUCAUAACAAACAAUACUCAAGGGAAGUUAAGUUAUCCGUUUUGGUCGUCGUUAUAGGUGUUGGUGUUUGCACUGUCACAGAUGUCAAAGUUAAUGCCAAAGGUUUUAUAUGUGCGUGUAUAGCUGUUUUGUCUACCUCUUUGCAGCAAAUUGUGAGUAUUUGCAUCUUUUAUCCAACCAUAUUAUACUUUGCUUUAUUUUCUGUUUUUCUUUUUACACUGGGUUUGCUUGGAAAAUCUUGGCGUCUUUGCUUGUCAGUACUGGGGCAGCUCCUAGCUAAUUGAUCAUGCAAAUGUUUAGAGUGAAAUUUGUGAAAUAUUAUUUUAAUAGUUGUUCUAAUAUGAGGUUUGUUGAUACUGCAUGCUGAGGUGUUUGAUGUCUGCAACACUGACAGUGAUGACUCGAAUCUGUGAGGGUAAAAAAUGAAAUUAAUAAAAGUUGUUGACUGGUAAUUUACAAACCUGAAUGAAUUUGGAAGUGCAUGAUAUUAACCAGCUGAGUGACCAAUAGGCUUAAGUCUAAUUGGACAUUACUUGGGGAAGUAGCAAAUAGCCCCACACUAGUUAUAGAAGCACCUAACUUUUAGGGUUCAAAUAUAAUAAUGCCAAACUUUUGUGAUUAACUUGUGAAGUUGGUGAGCAUGAGUCAUGUUGAAGUCUAUUGAUUGUUUUCCUUAAUGUACUCAUUUACAUUAUAACCACCAACUAAAGGUGCAGAAUAUAGCUCGAAGUAUAUUCAGCCUGUGCUUGCAAAAUAAAUGCUUGUUUGUUACUUGAUUAGUUAUGGUGGUGCUUGUGGAGCCAAAUAUUGAUUCAUAUUAUUUUCUUCUGUUGGAUAGACUAUAGGUUCCUUGCAGAAGAAAUAUUCAGUUGGAUCAUUUGAAUUGUUGAGUAAAACAGCUCCCAUUCAAGCCGUUUCUCUUCUUGUUCUUGGUCCAUUUGUUGAUUACUUCCUCAAUGGAAAAUUUAUAACAACUUAUAAGAUGUCUACCGGCGCCAUUGUAAGCACCCAUCCCUUUUCUACUCAUCCUAACUCGUGGAUUUCUUUGUGCUUUUCAUCUGUUAUGUAAUGAUCUUGUUAACCUUUCUUUGCAGUUAUUCAUAAUACUUUCAUGUUCCCUAGCUGUAUUCUGCAAUGUGAGCCAGUACCUAUGUAUUGGAAGAUUCUCAGCAGUUUCCUUCCAGGUUUUAGGUCAUAUGAAAACAGUUUGUGUUCUCACACUGGGAUGGCUGCUCUUUGAUUCGGAGUUGACUUUCAAAAACAUAAUGGGAAUGGUUAUUGCAAUAGCCGGCAUGGUUGUUUAUAGUUGGGCUAUGGAGGCUGAAAAGAGUGCAAAUGCCAAGGCCACACCCCAUAUGAAGAACAGCCUGACAGAAGAGGAAAUCAGACUUCUGAAGGAGGGAGUGGAAAGCACUCCCGUGAAGGACAUUGAAUUGGGUGAGACUAAAGGGUAGGUAUUGGUGUUCUUUGUUUUGGCUAACACAUUCUCGGUUAGUCAUUAUCUUGCUUUCUUCAUGAGGCUGCAAGACGGUGUCCAUGGGCUGACCCCUCGCAAAUUCUUAGAUAUGUGUUUUAAUUUAUUUAAGCGAUUUGUUCUUCUAUUUAAUUCUUGGUUGUUUCUCUAAAUUAUUUUUUUGUAUGUGCAAAAAAGAUUAGAAUCAUGAUGUGAUAAGGAAACGUAAACUCCAUAUGUUAGCAGAAAGUUCUUAGUAAGCAAUAGAAUUUUGUUCUUUGUUUUUUUAAAGUUGAAUUGUUCCUUUAUUUCGUAUGGUUUGCCAUGUGGCGUGGAUUGUGCAUACGGCAUCCCAACCAACUGUGCCUAAAAUGCUCAUAUCAAAUAUUUUUGGAGUUCUUUUUUCUUUUUUUGUUAAAAAAUGUUCUGACAUUAACCUUUGUGGGAAGUACAGUACACAAGGCUCAUCCAUAUACGUGGAAAUACUAUUCGCAGGAUGUGUAGUGUGGAUCGAUGACCUCUCCGCUAAUCACCAACCCUCAAUCGUUUGCUGACACAUUAUCCAAAACCUCUAACACAGCUUAUCAUUUUUAUAGAUUUUUUUUCUCAUAUUUAAAAAUAAAGUUUUAAAAUAUGAAAUUUUUAUAAUUUUUCAAAUUUGUUUAUAGUCAAUCGAAACUUUUAAUAUUUUUUUAACUAAAUCUUUAAUACUACAACGAAAAGGAAUUGUUUGAAAAAUAUUUGGCUUUAAUUUAAUUUGAAUCAUUAAUUCAAAAUAAAACUCGUCCAAUUAAUGAGUUAAGAUGAAUUUUUAAAAAUUUAAUGAGAAAUUAAAGUAGGUCCGGCUCAAACCUAGGCCUAAGACAUUUGAUAUAUUACAAAGGAGGAGGGCCUUCUGAAAUGUCGGUGGUUUCUUUUGGAUGGGGUAGGCUUUGAAGAGCAUUAUUUUAUUUUAUCUUUAUUACCCGAACCGUUUAAAACGGAACAAGAGAAGACAAAGGACGUGGCUUUUGUUAAUCACUUGGAGCACAUAAUAAAUGCCUGAAUCGAGUAACAGUGGGCAUUAUUAUCUAUCAGAAAAUGUAAAUAAUAAUAUUAAUAAAGAAUAGUAAUAAUGAUAUCAUGUGGAGGAGGAUGCCAUAUUGCCAUGUUUGCCUGUUUUGAGCUGUAAAGAAUGAAAUGCUACAUUAUUAUUAGUUUUUCUCAACUGGCAGGCUCAGGCUAUAGAAGUCAGUUUGCUUCCUAUUUCUUUUACAUCUAUCUCUAUCAUCAAAGCCAAAAUGGAACUCAACUUAUAUAAUAAUGCAGAGAAAUUUCUGGUGCAUUAAAAGCCUCAGUCAGAAAUUUUAUGAAUUUGCUAACAUUUGUAGUUUAGUACUAUUUAACUAUUUAACUGAAACAUAUAAGUGUUCAUUUCUGUUGCUUGAUCUUUGAAAAGAUACAUCUUUCUGGAUCAUAUGUCACGUUCUUCAACAGAUGUGCGUAAGAUCCAGAAUAAAAACGGAAAAACAAAAGGAGCAGAAGAAGGCCAUUUAAAACCCAUGGGCUUCAUCCAAAUUACAUGUAUGUGUGUAUAUCAAAAAAAACAAAAAAGUAUGAUUAAAUGUGUAUCAGAGAAACAAGAAUGAUAUAUGCAAUAAUGCAGGCGUCAAGGAAGCAGAGGAUGUUUUGUAGAAGUAAAGAUAGCAUCAGAAUGGAAAUUGGAAAUGAGAUCAGAAAGUUGCAUGUAAUGAACAGAGGGAUUGCCGGUCUUGAGAAGGUGAAUAAGGUACUGGAAGAGAUGGAUGUCACAGGCAAUCCUGAGUGCACCAUCGUAGGAAUAACCAAACUCUUCAUGGGAGAUGCGAAGCAGGUCUUCGAACAAUGGAUGGUUUAGAUAAUUAGCUUCCAUCUCCAACUUGCAUUGGAAUUCGACGUCUUUCCCGACGUACACUCGAAUGUGCCCUUCUGGGACAUCUAUUGGCGAUGAAGAUGAGGAUGAUCUCUCUGACUCUGAGAUACUGAAACCCUUUGCCCCACAGCACCAUAGUUUUCUCACGAUCCCACUCCUCAUUUUGUGUUAUCUUUGAUCGAUACAACGAUAGAUUGAUUGAAUGGAUGCGUUAGCUUUUCUUGUCGUCCUUGUAUGAGUGUAAUUGUUUGCUUAUGAUUAUGUUUACGUGUGUAUAUAUACAGAGAUACAAUUGGCAAAUUAAAAUAAAAAAAAUAAAAAUUUGCAUGGUCCACCAUCCGUAUUCUACAAUUAAGAUAAUAAGAAAAUAAAAGAGGUGAAGGUGAAGCCGCGGAUAAUUGGUUGGUCCGGGGGCGGGGGUCGGGCUCCUUAAUCAGUCAAUCUGUAUAAUUAAGCUACUUAAUUAUCGAAAUUUUCAUUUAAUUAUUAUAAGAAUUAGUAUUAUUAGCAGUAGAUAAAUAAAGUAAUCAGAUCAGAUGUGCCAACUGAUAUAAUAUGAGUAUUGAUGGGUAUAGGAAAUUGCACCCUCAGCUCAAAUCAUUGGCCGUGGCAUAAAUAAAUUAUAAAGAAAUUAUAUUAAGUGGAACAAAAUGUUACUUAAUCUAAGAAUCAGAAGAAAAGAAAGAAAGCUAAGUGUGAAACAGAAACAGAAACCUCUGAACUCUCAACAGUACGCAAGUCAAGGACAGCUAAGAACCGCGUGUUGAGCGGAAGAAGCAUUUGAAACGCUAACUAACUAACGAAGAAAGUUCCGUCUUAGAAGGCGGUGAGAGACAGAGCGCAUUACUAAUUUCCGCAAGGAAGGCGGAAGGCCCCAUCAGUGGAGCAUCCAACACCUUGGAAAGUCAAUCUCCACUUUCUUACAAGUCAAUGGAUCCAAAAAAAACCAAGAACAAGUACAAUAAUGAUUUGUCUGCUGAAAAUGAGAAUGAAAAACGUGCUUCUAAAGAAAUUAAACCCAACUUCUCUUCACUUAGCUCAACAUCCAGAUUCUAACGGUGCAGUGAGUGAAUAUGAACCACUGAGGUCAUCCAUUUUAAUUCUGAGCUCUUUAAUUUGUGAUCAUCUUGCACAACGUAACAUAUCAUAAUAAGAUUAAUUAUUUAGUUUUACUACUUGUCUACUCACUCUCGAUCCGAGGGAAAUUAGGUUCCUUUGAUUUCCCACUUUUUCAAACCAAAACUUUCCUUCUAACAAAAACCAACAUUUAAAUUCCACUGUUUCUGAAAAAAAAAAAAAAAAGAAGUACAACACAAGACAAAAGAAAAUUAAAAGACGAGAAGAAUAAUGAUCUAUAAGAAGAAGAAGGCAUUGCGUUGCGAUGCGACGGUGGAUCCCAGUCUCACUGUUGUGCUUUGUCUUUUAUACGAUACAAAGCGAUACUUGCCAAUUCUGAGAGCCCAAAAGUCCAAGCCAACUUACGACAUGAAUUGCCAAUUCUGAAGGCCCAAAAUACCGGGCCGACUUAUGAAGGUAGGCCCAAAGAGACGAUGGAAAUCCAACAGGGAAGAAAUUAGUAAACGAUUGAAAGAAAAAUGCUCGAGUCUAGACAGACAGGAGACAGUGGAGGAGGAAGAAACCGGAGUAGAGGGAGUUUGUCUGAUUCAGCUAUUGAUACUAAUUUUGAAAUACAUAAUUAUUCAAAUAAUUGAUAAAAUGGAGGAGGAUGAUAUGGAUUCGCUCUUUGAGGGGAUGGUGUUGUUUACGCCUUCCCAAUUGGUUGAUGAUCAAAAGAAGCAGCAGCAGCAAGAAAAGGAUGAUGAUCAUCAUCAUAAUAACGAUUCAGCAGAAAUCUCGCUCCCUCCUCGUGAAUCUGAAUCUCGACUUGAUGCUGCUACUGCCACCAUUAAAACUGACCCGCCAUCUCAACAUAAGGUCCAGGAGCCUCUCGACGAGAACCUAUUCUCUGACCUCACCCUCCAAACCCUAACUACAGAAUCAGAUUCCCUUCCUACUGCUGCUACUCUUCAAACAGCAACCAACUCUCGUCAGAUAUCCAGAAAGAAGAAGAAAGCUGCAAGCCUUAGAAUCGGCUAUGGUAGAGGAGGAUCCUCUAUCGAUGAUCUGCCUGCUAGUCCCUCUGAAGAUCAAAAUCUAAGUCUUAAAGAUGAUGACUCUACUGCAUCCAAUGAUAUUAUUCAUGAUGAUGAUAAAUCCGAUCUCGAUGCUUCCCAAUCCCAAUCCCCCACUUCUACGUCUUUAGUCGCAGAAUUGGAUGUCAGUGCGUGUUCGAUCCCAGAUUCACAAUCACUAUCAAAAGAUGAUGAAUAUGAGCUCAUCAAGGCCCAAAUUUCUGAGAAGCUCCACCGCUCUCGUCAGUUAGCUGCCUCUGUUUCUUCAGCUCGCAAGGAUGCCAUCAGGAGGAGAAGAGCAGCUACUGAGGAUCUCAAUUCAGCCUCUGCCAAGCACAGGGACCUCGAAUUACAGUUGGAGGCUGCCUGUGAAGCCGAAGAUUUCGAGGCCGCCGAAAGGAUUAGCGACAGGCUUGCCACCACUGACAAGGAGAGGCAAGCUCUUCUCUCUGCUCUUAGAGACGCUGAAGCCCAUUGUGAUGCCAUCGAUUCUAAGAUGCACGAUGUUCUGAACUCUCAGAUUCUUGCUGAGCAAGAAUGCGCAACUGUUCUCUCUAAUUUUGCCAAGGUUAGCAUACCAGCUACAUAUCACAAUUUGCAUUUUCAAUGCCUUUAACCUAUUAGCCUAAUUAAUUUCUCUCUAAUCUUAAUCUAAUCUCUGUAGAAUUAGGAUAGAACUCAAAAAUUCUUUUCUUUUUUUUUUUCUAUUGAACAAAAAAUAAAUAAAUGAUAGAUUAGCAAGAUGAUAUUUCAUGUUGCACGAAGUUCCUUUGAGGAAUCCCGCUUAUUUUAUUCUGCAAAUGUCUCUCCCAGGAUGCAGAAAAAAACGCAGAUUUAGUCUCGGAGAAAGCACAAGUACUCUCUUCAAAAGAAAUGGAUGAAUGGUUCUUGUCGAGUGAGGCCUUGGAGGCCAAGAAGAUGGAGUUGGAUGUCGAAUUACACUUCAUAAAUGAAGCACGUCUUGCUGUGAAUGAUUCCAUAGAGCAUUCAAUUGAGGACUAUAGGAAGGAGCAGGAACGUCUACAUGAGAAAAAAGAUGUUCUAACCGAUGAACUCCAGAAAUUACUCGCCUUGGUCAAAGACAAGGAAAAGGAGAUAGCAGAAAAUGAUUCUAAAAUCAAAACAAUUGAAGAAAGGAUUGCUGAUGUGGUCUCUGGUUUUCAGGACAGUCAAUCCAGCAUUGAGGCCAAAUAUGAUAACUUGCAAUUGGAACUUUCUCAGAUUCAUUUUCAUAGUGAAGCUUUAUCAAUAAAAAAGAAGGAAAUUGAUAAGUUACUUGCUGAAGGUGAAGACCUUGGAGCCAAUCUAAAGGAACUAGCCAGAGUCUCUGAAGAUGAAGCAAAGGCAUACCAGGAAGUUGUUGAGCUCAGGAAAAGGCUGAUGUUGUCCAUUUUGAAUUCCAGGGAAGACAAAGUAAGGCUUGCAAAGGCCGAAGAGAAACUUAUUGAGGAUGUCCGAAUGCUCCAACAGGAUGUUUCUUCUUUAAGAGCCUCCUUACAGGUUUGAUUUUGCUUCCAAGAUUUCAUUGUGGCUUUCACUUAUUUAUUUAUUUUAAGAAUAACCUGCAAAUUAAGGGUUUUUACCCUUAAGACUCUUCAAUUUUAAUUGUUAUAUUAUAUUUCUAAGUUUGGAAUGUGGCUAUCACUAAAACAUGAAUGUCAGAUUUGGCUUUUUGAAUAACCUCUAGCAACAUAAAGGAACCAUGCAUUAGGGAGUAGAUCAUGGCUAAACUAUAAUAGUAUUCCAGAAGGAUUGAAUAAUUCAUUAAAUGGGUUGGCAUGGUUGAUUGAGUGCAUAAUACUUCAAUUAAAUACCAAGUUUGAUUGCUUCUACAAUGGCCAGUUCUCCCUCUAGGAAAUUCAAAGACUUUUGUGUCAAAGCAAGUAGUGGAGAGGAUGAAUAGCGUCAGACUUCCCUUCUGCACCUGGCCUAGUUCAUAGGCCCUCGAUGGUUCAUUUCUUUCUUCAGUCACAAGGUGAAUGAAAGCCUUCUUUUCUUAGAGUAGCUUCAGAAGUAACGGCUUCAAGCAAGGAUUGACUUGACUUUUAGGCUGACUGGAGCAUUUCUUACAGCAGUGUUGAAGAUACUGGAACUAGACAAUAAAGGUGUACCCAAGGGGGUAGGGCAGUCUGUCAUAUGCACCUUUCUCUUGCUCUUUUGCAAGGAGGCUGUUUCCAUGACUUGAACUCUUGACCUUCUGGUUACAAACAGCAACAGCUUACCAUUGCACCAAGUUUUGGCAAACUGAAAAGUGUUUCGAUUCUUAAUUUAUGUUGUAACAUGUACACAAGCAAUAGAGAUUUCUGCCUACUAAUUAUUAUAUUUUCACCAUGUAGUUUGUUAUUCAUAUGUGUUUGCAUUCUCUUGGUCUUUGAAUUAAAUUUUUACUGCUGAAAAAUUAAAUCAAGUAACUUCCAUCUUUGCUAUUAAUGCCAUUCAAUUGCUAAAAUAAUAUCACAUGAUUUUUUCUAGGAACUGUCUUCAACAAAAUCAAACAUCCAACAAUCUAUAGCAUCCUUCAAGCAGAGGAUCUUUUUCAUUGAUAAAAGAGUCCCAGAGCUGGAAUCUGAAAAGAAAGUUGCUGCUUCAACAAGAAAUUUCAAGGAAGCUGCACGAAUAGCUGCUGAGGCAAAGUCAUUGUAUGUUGAGAAGGAUGGUGUGCAGAUUGACUUGGAAAGAACUACAGCAGAGCUGGAGAAGUUAGAGGAAGAUAUGAAAAAUACUGUUAGUAGAUUGCUGGAUACUGAACACCUGAUUUCAUCCAAGGAAAAAGAGGUUGCAAUGGCUAGAUUUCAGAGGUUACUUUUAAUUGCUGGCGCUGCUACAGCAGAAAGGGUUUCGGCUUUAGAGCUCGGUGACUCUGAAGAAGCCAACCUCCUACUUGCAGAGGCAGAAGCAGCAAAUGCUGAAGCAAAAAAACUUCAACCUAUAUAUAAUUUCAACAAGGAACAGUUCCCAAAUUUACCAAAGCAUUUCAUCUCCAUGGAACUUGUAUUUAAUCUUGGCAGGAAGCAGUUAGCAGAUUUAGCGGCAUCUGUUGGUAUUUCUGCACCUCAAUGAUUACAAACUAGAGUGGAGUGGAUUUAGAGAGGAUCAGUGAAGAGAUAUUGGAGGUGCAACAUUAUUCCUAAUUUGUAGUGAGUAUCAGAAGCUAUGAAUGAUUUUGAAAUUGCUUUUGAUGGGACAGCUAGUUACGACCAUCAUCUCCAUGGCAUUGUAUGGUUCUUCAAAGGUGCAGAUGCCUUCAAAGAUGACAUUUGAUACAUCUUACAGUUUUGCUGAUCACAGGUUCGGCAACAAGACUUCCCUAUGCUUAUGUUCUUUUGUGCAAUAUUGAUUUACCAGGACAAAAUCCUGUCUAGGAGAGGGGGUGAAUAUGUUCUUGCUUUUUGCAAUUUUUUUCAGUUCUCUUCUUUGACAUGAUAUUUUUGCAUACCAUUUUUUUUCUUUCCAAAAUUUAAACCUGCUUGGUUAUGCAUGAGAAAAAUAAAAUGUGUCUUCUUCUUCAUUUCUAUUUUGCACAAUUGAAGCAGUGAUUCAUUUGUUUUUUAGGAUUUUGUAAUUAUAAUUUUAUUUUUUGUGGAUUACAUGGAGCCUCUUUGUCACCUGGAACAUGCAUAGAGUUUAGGAGAAGUGUACUUACGGGCUUGAAUGAUACGUGGUGCUGCUUUAUUAUGAAUUCUACCUUCCAGCCAAAAAUUGAUGUAAUUAGCUCCAAUAUGUUGAAUGAGUACAAAUAUGAUAAAGCUGAGCAUUUUUUUUUUUUUUAGGAAAAACAAAUUAUACUUUCAGGGUGUUAAAUGGUUCUUUCAUCCAUGUUUUUUAUCUUAUCAUUACCUUUUGGUAAAGAAUAAGAAUUCAGUUAUAUCAUUUAUUCUUACAUUAUUGUUUCUGAUUUAUAAUAGUUUUUGGUCCCUAUUGUUAAUCACAGGGGGAAGUUACAUUUUCGUCUGAUAAUAAAUGAUAAUGUCAGCCUAAACACUUGUACCUGUUUCAAAGGCAUACUCUCCACAUAACCCAUUCAUCAACGUGAAAGCAACACCAGAUCAGAACCUCAUGAGGCGAAAAUGCUUCUUCAGUUUAGAGCUGGUCAUGAACAGAAUUUUUGGGUGGUUGGUUAAGGUAUUGCCAAAACCAUUAGCUAGCCAUUGUCUUCUCAUCAUAUCCGACAAGAUAACUCGAAGCGAAAGUUUACCAAAUCCUGAGCAGACAAAAAUGACAAGGAAAAAAAAAAAUUCUCGUCACCAUUUCGCUUGAAACCAUAUUUUAUUUUUUUUGAACCAAAUGGAAUCAUUGAAUUCAAAGAAUUGAAUCGAAAUUGGUGAUUCAAGAACUGAUUCAGGUUUGAGAGAAGGAGAAAAAUGCACUAGAAUCGGCCUAGACUCAGCAGUUCAAACUGGUCUUCCGACUGGCCUAAAAAUUUUUUAAAAAUAAUUUAACUUGAUUUUCUGUUAAUUAUUAUUUAUCUGAUUUCUAAUUUUUAUCAAAUACGGAAAGUCACUUUUGUAAUUACUCAAAAAAAAUGAAAAAAAAAAUAAUUAGUUAUUCAACUUCUAAUUCUUAAUUAAAUAUGAAAAGGAGAGUUAAAUUGAAUAAAUAAUUAAAUACGAAAAAGUUAAUUAUGAUCAAUUAUUCGGGCAAUUGGGAUUUUUUUUUUUAUAUAUUUGAAAAAGAGAGGCACUUGGGAUGCUUAUUGCUUAUUGACGGUAGGCCAGUUCGCAUAUUCUCCUUUCGGUAGCAAUUUUUUUUCUUUAAUGUUUUUUUGAAGUUUGAAUUUGUUAGUUUUACAAUCCAUAUCGCUCACAAGUAAUGUAAACAGUACAUAUAAUAUUCAGUAUCAUUACAUAUCAGAAUCCAGUAUUGAGUUACUCUUCUUUUUCACUUGUACCCAGGUGUUUAAAAAAAUCGUUGCAACAGAUACACAGAGCCAUGUGAUUUUGCCUUCGGAGCUUACAGGUGGCGGGAUAAGGCCGCUUUUAUUAUGAAUCAAAUGGAGAGAGAGAGACAGAGAGAGAGAGAGAGAGAAGAACAUUUUACGGUAUAUAAGCAGUUCACCCUACCUCCCUCUUCCCUGUAUAAAUUAAACUAAUAAAGAAUCUUGGGAGCUUCUUUCGUAGCUUGUACCCCAAUUCUAUCAACAUAAUGAAAACAGUUCCAUGCAGCCAGCUGAGGGAGGAGUUUGGGAAAAGAUAUCGGCGGCACGCUUAAACACACAAUUCACAAUUCAAUCUACAGUUGCAAACUCACCACACCAGACAUCUGUCUUUUUAUCCUUUUUUGCAUCAUCAAAACAACAGAUAUUUUGAUCAAACUCACCGGCGAGCAGCAAAUACCGAUGUUAAGUGCAGUCCAAACCACACUCCUCUAAAAGUGGGCCAUCCGACUUGGCUAGGAAUGGAUCUAUGCGAACCCACAAAAGGGAGAAGAUGGAAGCAAGCAAAAUAGACCAGACGAUUAUGAUUGUGGGAGUUCUGUUCUGUCGACCCAGCAGACCCUUUAGGAAAGGAUAGAGGUGAACUAUCACCCAGAAUGCAAAGAAAAGCUUACCAAACAGAGGCCCCCACGACUCGUACCCAUUAUUUAUUGCAUUUGAGACGCCAGCAACUACUCCUAUCAGAUUUAUUAUCAGCAACGUUGUUGGUGGAAUGAGUAAGGUUGUCCAUUUAAAUGCAUAUAGCUCCGAAAACUCUUCAUCGUCUCCUGCUUUUGAUGUCACAGUGAAGUUUGUAUCAACACCAGCCAGAACCUUUAACAGACCCUGGAAAACAGCAAAUAGAUGUGCUGACACUCCUCCAAUCACCCAAAAUUGCUCGUUUCUCCACCAAUCAUCAAGCCCAACUCCACUCCAUCUCAUUUCCAGUAUACUUGUUGCAAAAAUACAAAUGAAAAGUGACAAAAACCACAAGCUUGCGGCGUUGCUUAGCUGCAAUGUGGGAACCAAAUAAAUUUAAAUUCGCAUAUACUAUUCACAUUUUUAAGCGGCAUUUAAAAUAAAAUCAGGGCAUGCUCUCAAUGAUCAAUCAUAUAUAUUAUUACAAACAGCAUACCUCUGGAGUGAUAAAUUUCCCGGUUAGCAAACACACGGCAGGAAGAGUACAAUAUGCCAGCAGGGGAAGAGAUGUCAGUGGAUACACUGUAGCAUUUAUGUAAGACAAACGCUCUAGCCACUUCAAACCUCCUCCAUAACCAUACCACAGAGGACAGUGCCUGCUUAAAAAUAUUUCAACAGAUCCAAGAGCCCACCGAAGGACCUGAUGUAGACGAUCGGAAAGAUUGAUGGGCGCAGAACCUUUAAAUGCAGGCCUGUCAGGAAUGCAGUAUAUUGAUCGCCAUCCAUGGCAGUGCAUUUUAAAACCUGUCAAUAUAUCCUCGGUAACCGAACCAUAAAUCCAUCCAACCUGGAGAAUUGAAAGAAAUUUUAUGUUGGACCAAAUCCAAUAGUCGUACUUAUUAUACAAAUUAAAAUAUCCAAUAAAAAUUUUAAACAUUCCUUUUACCUCUUUACCCCAUUCUGUUUUAUCUUCAUAGCCACAGCUAAUAACAUGGAUGGCUUCUUUAAGCAAAGAUGCAGGGCUCGCACCUUUCAGUGAACCACCAUCCUCUAGAAGAGUUGAUGCAACAAAGACCGGAGAUUGUCCGAACUUCUUUUCCAAUUUAUUUUCAGGCAUUACAGCAGCAUUUUCAUCUUCAAUUCCUGCAUCCAACUCAUUCAAGUUAGCAUUAAAAAAAGAAAAAAAAUCAAGCCAGUUGGACCUGUUGAAAGGAAAAGCUUCAUGUGAAAGAAGCAAUAUAAAACCACCUACAAAAUUAAGGAAGCACCUAGACAAUUUGGCAUGAAUAUCAAUCAAAUCUGGAGUCAUAGAGAAGUGGUUCCCAUAUGCAUAAUUAUUCUAAAGUAUCCCACCAAAUAAAUGAUUAACUGUUUCCACGAGCACACAUCUGAAUUUAGCAUUAUUUUACACUCUGGAAUCUACCUUGCAAUUAAAUAUCAGGCAACCUUAAUGAGAUCAGCAAAGAAAAUAGUUCCAUCUAACAGUCAAGCUUCGGUUGCACAAGAUAUCCAUGCAAGUAUUUUCAUUAAUUACUGCCAAGUAUGAGCCUGUCUGGAAUUGCCAUUAAUUUUUUUCUUUUUUCUUUUUCUUUUCUUUUUUCUUUUCGUGAAUAAGCAUUCCAUUAAAGUAGUUGCUGAGAAAAGCAUCCUCUAAAAUGUUGUAAUUAAAAGCAACUAGAAAUUGCUUUUAAGGUGUAUUGCUAAUGUCUUAUCAAAACAUCUCAAGUUUUAAUUGCAUUUUGUAAAAAGUAACUUUUCAAAACGUAGUUUGAAAUGCAAUGCCAAAUUGAAACUAACACUAAUGGUAAUUGUGGAUAACACAAGUGUGGACAGGAAAUUGGUGAGUAAAUGAUCAUUUGCAAUCAGUAGUGUUACCUUCAAUGCCCUCUUCAGUACCCUUCAAAACACUCACAGGUUUAGAUGUCCUUGAAUUCUUCUUCUGCAUCUCAGAUUUAGGUUUGUCAGUCUUCUUCUUCUUUAUCCUUCCAGAACAACAACAUCCACAGCACCACUUAGGCAAGCAAUUGCACGUCCUACUCGGUAGUUUCUUUGCUUUUGGAGCAUCAUAUCCAUAGAACGCCUGCCUUCUGAACACACAACCAGUGCCAACAUAUAUAGGUCCUUGAAUGCCAUCCAAACCUUUCAUGUUUAUCUGUAUUCAAAUGAUGGAUUAAAUUGUGUACAGAAAAUGAACAACUUCGAGCAUAAAGGUCUAAUAAGCAAGUUUAGAUAAACUAAUGCUUACAUCAAAGAAUACAAUAUUCCGAUUGGCAUAUCGAUCAUGCCUGUCAAUGCCAUCAAACCUUUGUGGGAACUGGACAUAGCACACUCUCUUUCCAAGCAAAGGAUCCAUCAUGAAACACAUUGCUUCUCUAAUAGCCUUACUAUUAUUGAAGUAGUGAUCACAAUCCAAAUUCAACAGAUAAGGAGCAUUUGUGAGCACAGCAGAGACCCUGACCUGUUUGAUGGAUAGAUAAAGUUUAAAUAAAUAACAUCCAUGUCAACUAUAAUGGUGCAUAUAAUUUAGCAUCUUUUUACUUUCUUUAAUAACUCACCAAAGCAUUCAUUGCUCCAGCCUUUUUGUGGUGGUUAAAUCCAGGUCUCUUUUCUCUGGAAACGUACACCAUUCGUGGUAGUUCAUUUCCAUCUGUGUCAAGCCCUCCACUUUGGCCAAGGAAAACCUAUGAAGGAGAAGAGUUAUUAUUCCAGAACAAUAGUCAGCCAAAUUAAUGAAAUCUUGUUCACAUACUUGAAUCAUCCCUGGAUGAUCGCGAACAUUAUUCCCUGGCCAUGGAGUCCCAUCCUGCAUUGUCCACCCUUCUUCUGGGACCUUUUGUGCCUUGGCAACCAAUGCAUUAAUCCGAACUUUAAACUCUUCAUACUCUCUCUGCAAUCCAAUAAGAAAUGUGGUUACUAAUACUGGCCAACUGAUACAGACACAGAGAGGAAGAGAGGUAGGGGGAGUUUAAAUGUUGAUGAUGGAAGCUUUAGCACCUUCAUUGCUCUCCGUUCCUUCACAAAUGAAGCCUGCACCUUAUCUUUGAGAUAAUCUAUCUUUUGAGCAAAAUAGAACUCUGGUGCCCUUGGUUCAAUGUUAAACUUCUUACAGAAAGGGACCCACUUCUUUGCAAAUUCAGAUGUUUCUGAUAAAGCCUCAAAUGUCAGCAUAGCAGCACCAUCAUCAGAAACAUAACAUGAGACCUUGUCAACCGGGUAAUCCACUGAAAGAAUGGACAGAACUGUGUUUGCAGUCACCAGUGGUGGUUCUUUUAAUGGAUCAACUGUACUUACAAAUAUAUCAAUUGGAGAUAGUUGAGAAGGCUGGCCUUCCUUCUCAUAUCUAAUAACAAACAAGCCAAAAAAAAAAAAAAAAAAAGAGCCAUAAAUUCAUUGAACUACUUGAUCCAAAAUAGAACAGGAAUAACAGCAAAUGACAUUAUCAGUUACCUGAGAGAUAAUCGAUCCAGAUAAGUUUCCCUGUCAAUAGGAAGCCACUUUGGGAAUUGAUCAAGGAUCCAUGAAAGAGCAAACCAAAUCUCACAAAUAACAGAUAUGAGCCACAAUGGGUACGCAUCAUUCACAGGGUGUGUGACUCGAUAAUGGAAGAAGAAUCCAAGAAUUACAAGUCGAAUGAUGAUGAUCAUCCGGUAAGGAUUCAUUUGGCUGGAAGAAAUAGGUAAUUUUCGCGAUAAUGGUUGUCUAGCCUCAUCCAUUCUGAUCCAUGAGCAACAAAUUUCAAUUCCAAAAUCAGCAAUGUUAAGAUAUUUAAGUUUAACCAGCAGGAAUGGAACUUUGGAGGAGGGAACAAAGAAAAAAAAAAAAGAAUCAAAACUGUUGCCAUUCAUAGCAAUGUUGGCAACCAGGUUUAUGCUUAAAAACCACUGAUAUUGAUAGUGUAAAUUAAUACUGCACUAAACAUCAUUUUUGACAUGAAAAUUCACAUUAAAGACCAAGCAAUUAACAAAAGAUCAUUGCAAGCAUAUUUGGAACUCUGAAGGGUAAAUAAAACUGAAUGUACUUCAUAUUUUCUGUACUAGAAUUAUUGAAUCAUUAAAGAGGGAAAACGAAGAGCAACUAUGAUCAAUGAAGUAUCUCAAUUAGUUGGGACUCCACUUAAUUAUGGAAAAAAGAGGAACCCCUUUUUUUUUUUCUUUUUCUCAUUGGUUAAAUAGGAACUUCUAUACUCGUGCACGGAAAAUGAAGAUUCAGCAUUAUAAAUAAGCUAAGAUUUAGGGGAGCUUACAAUGGCAGAUCAGAUGCAUCACCAUCACAGUCCCAGUCUUUGCCGCCAUUUUCAUUCUUCAUCAUCUGCAGUUUUUCAUGCUUUUGCUUCCAACUCUCCAUCCUCUCCUUCCAAGCAAUACUUCCAUAGCCAUAAGCAGCCAAGUCCUUAGAAGGAUCCAUGGAUCUAGGUUGCACUGCAAAAUGGGGACAGAGACAAUAAAUAUUGGACUCUGUAGCAGAGAAGCAACAGGAAAAAAAAAAAGAAAGAAGAUCCAACUGAUUGAACGAUUGGUGAUAAAGUUGGAAAGUUCACAAACGAUUACCAGGGAAGGUAGGAUCUGAAAAAGGAAGAGGGUGGAUUCUUUUGCCGCCACCAGCGCCAUUAGACAUGUAGGAAGGGACCAAAGCAUGUUGUUCUGGAGGAAUGUCAUCCACCUGUAUCGACAUCCAGCAAUUAUGAUGCAGCAAACUUAAAACAAACGAUAAAAUAUGUAAUGCUUAAGGAUAGAUAGCUAGAGUAGAGAAAUUAGGUGAAGGGAGGUACCGUUUGACCGUCAGUAAGGAGAGGAACUUGGGUUAGAGGAUGCAGAGGUUGAUAGAGAUCAGAAAAGGCGAGGCCAUGGUGAAGCAUAGCCUCCGGUCCAAGAGGAUGCUGCAUAUCCUUUCUACCCCUUGUUGGAUCGAAAUUGAACUCAUUUUCCAAGUCAUCGAUGUCAUCUUCUUCUUCGUCUCCUUCAACUCUGGCACAGCCUGCUCAAAUAUGAUCAUACAAUUUUCAAUUCAUUUGGCGGUAGUGUUGAAAUUGAAACAUAUAGAAAUGAAAAGAGAGGAGAUGGUAAAUUAUUUGAGUACCCUUGAGACGCUUGAAUCUGGUCUUGCACUGAGGGCAGACUUGAGUUCCUUCCCUGCGCUCGUACUCAUAGCAAGUUCUGCAGAUUGGGAAGGCACACUCAUUGCAGGCAACAAACAGCUCUCCAUCCACGGUUAGCCCCACAUCGUCUCCACAUAUGUGGCAUAUUUGUCCGCUUAACUGCUGUAACGGUUUUGGCUGCCAAAUAAAAAAUAAAAAUAAAUGCAUUCUGAAUCCAGAAGAAGAAAAGAUAGUAGAAAAGGAAAAAAGUACAACAAGCUUACGGCAGAUUCACCAUCGCGACGGAUGACAACUAGCUCAUUCCUGUUAUGAGAGCCGGCCACCAAGCCUGCACUCGCUUCCAUUGGCCUCUCUAACAAUGCAGUAGAAAAGAAACUGCAAAUUUCAGUUUCAGAUCUACCAGAAGUAAGUCCAGCAGCGAUCAAUUGCUUUUUCUACCGGUAAAAGAGAAAAGCGACAGCGACAGAGGCAGAGGUCAACCUACUACUACUACUACUACUACUACUCAUCUGCUCAAUGACUCGCUACUGCCUCUGGUAACUGAGCAUCUUAGUAGAAGCUUUGCUUGCUUUCUUCUUUUGCUUUUUCCGUUUCCCUUUCCUUGUUAUCCUUCUCUCUCUUUUAUAAUUCGUUGCUUGGCUUCUCAAUCAACUAUCAAACAAUUAAAAGCCCACUUCUGAAUGGAAAUUAGCAUCUUCUUCGUCUUCAACUCCCCAGUUAUUUCUUCUUAUUUAUAUAAUAUUUCAAAAUUUAUUCAGUAAAUUCUCAAAUCAGCAGAAAUCAGUCAAGUAAAAAGAAGACAAGAAACGAGAAAAAGAAAAUCAAAAAGAGGUUCUACAAUACAGUCUCCUCUCUCUUUCUCUCUGUAAGUCGGUAGUUGCCGCUCAUUUUCUGUCUAGUAACAUUUUUUUCACCUUACUUUUUUCUUAUCGACAUCUCCGCCGACACUACUAAUCGCGUCAUUAGAUCAUAUGCUAAUUGCUACGAUAAAGGACGACUUUGAUAUUUCCGUGUUAUUAAUAAUUGGUUAUCGCAGCACUGCAGCAACUACAAUAAAAUAAUCAUCCAUCUUGGAGGAAUAUCUGCCAACCAUUUACAAGAAUAACAGUGGCCCCUCCCUAACGGGAUAUACUUAUUUCCUAAUUAUAAGCAUCAGAAAAACCAACCGCUGUCAUUUUUCUUUUUUAUAUUUUUACACAUGGUGAUUUCGGCCCAUCCAUUAAAAAUAAAACAAAAUAACGUUGAACCGUUGAUGGUCAUGUGGGAUUUUGAUUUUUCAACGGUGUGCUGGCUGGCUGGCUGGCUGGCUGUCUGUACCUCUCCGCCUCCUCUCAGUAUCUGACCCCACCCCAUCAUGUAGAUGGCCUAUUGCUUUUUUUCGGUGUCUCUUUUGUUUACAAAGUCAAACGAACCAGGUGUGUCAUUUUCUUUAUUUUAGUGGUUAAAUUUAAUUUCAUUAUUAUGAUAUUUAGUUAAUUUUUUAAAGAAUAACAAAAAUGUUUUUAAUUCGAUUUAAUUAUUUAAUCCCAUAUAUAAUAUGGCUUUUAUUAAUGAAUAUGAUUUUUAUUAGAUUCAGAGUGAUCAGAGUAUAGACAAGCUUUGCAAAUUGCGAUCGUUUCCAGCUAGCUAUGUUAUGCUGAAGUGUGUAAAUAUUCAGUAGAAAAACGACAAGCGGCCCGUUGGCACCAGGUCGCGUGUCUCGGCCUUUGCUCAACCGGGACCCUCUCAUAUCAAUUUUUUGGUGCCUCUAUUACCCAUUAAUUUAUGAUUGUCGAUUUGAUUGGCCUACUUCGUCCUAUCACUUUUAAUUUAUGAUUUGUAUUUUCGGAUGAAUAUUAUGCAUAUCAGUUUUCAGGAGUCGUUGGUGUUUCGAUCAUCUGGUUUGGUCGGCUCCAAUUCAAUUGGACUAGGACCGACAUGGUUUAUCUUUUCUAUUAAAUUGGACUAAAUGGCAAAACCCUUAAUAUCAAUAAAAUGUUGAUUGAAGUCGUUAAAGAUCUCAAUCUCCGCAGUGGUGCGAUUCGAGGCCAUUAAACCUUUUGAUCUAAAAAACAAAAAAAGGCAAAUGGUUUGAUUGCAUACCGAGCCAGACGUUGAUAUAGAUAGACUUAAGAUUAGUUUCAAACACUAAUGGUUUAGAUAUUAUAGUCUCAUCUCCACUUCAAUUCCUGAUAUAUAAAAGUGGAUUCUUAAUUUUCUCGUGGAUUCCUAUUUACCCGAGGUAUGAAUUUUAUAACUUGGUUGCUCACUUAUCUCAUGCGUACAACAUCUGUCGUGUACAAAUACUCAAUGAGCAUAAACAUAUAAACAGUAACAAAUCUCAAUCAUUUAUAUGUAGGAGACUAGUGUCACUUCAAGUUAAAUAGUUGACACAGUUAUAACCUAAAUGAUGAAUCAUUUACAAGUAGUAAGCUUCUAUUUUAUCAUCAUCAUGCAUCAUACAUUGGACCUAAUCAUGUCUAUAACGGUCGAUGGCAUAAUUAAGACUUAUAGUAUCUCGUGUUGAUCAUGGAAAUAAAUAGAGGUGAUGAUCAUAUAUAUAUAGUAAAGUGUAUCGUAACGCUAAAAGUUACUUAAAAAGUUACUGUCGAAAAUAAUUUUUAUGACCGGUCAAAACGCUAAAUACUAUUUUUUACGGUGUUCGGUAACAUGGCGUUUGAACUAAUUUUUAAAAUUUAUAUAUAUUACGUUUUAUGAAAAGGUAACUCAUGUAAUGUUUAGCUUUUGGGUCCGUUCGGCAAAAUUAACUGUUUUGGUAGCAUUUAGUUGUUAACUGUUUAAGUAAUUUUUCAUGAAACGCUAAAAACUAAACGUUACAAAAAUUAACUUUUCAUAAAAAUGCUACAUUAACCUCUAAAAGCUUAGUUCAAAUACUAUGUUAUUAAAUACUAUAAAAAAUAUCGUUUAGUCAAAACGUUAAAAAUUUCUUAAAAAGUUAUUGCUGAACACAACUUUUAGCGUUUUAUGAAAAGCUACUAAAACAGCUAACAGCUAAACGAUACUAAAACAACUAACAACUAUAAAAACAAUUAAUUUUACCGAACAAUAUCUCGUUUUUCUUUUAGUUUCUUUUUGUGUUUUUUCAAUAAUUCUUACAUAUUUGUCUGUUUAAAUUGCAUUAAAUGUACAAAUCUCUUAUAGGUUGGUAUAUGUUAAGCGUAUCUUUUCUAUUAUUAUCUAAAUGUACAAAUCUCUUAUAUGUUAUUAUAUGUUAAGUGUAUCUUUUAUAUUAUCAUCUAUCUUUGAUAUCUUGAUUUUUUUUUUUUUUAAUUUUGUUAUACUUUUUUUUUUCAUAGAGAAUUUCUAUCCAUAAUAGCUUAAUUACGGGUUGCCAGCAGUGUUCCUCCAUCCGCCAAAUUUUAGAUUUUUUAAAAAAUAUCUUAUAAAAUAAAAAAAUUUGACAUUUUAUUUAUAAAAUAGUAAAUUUUUUAAACUGACCCUCUUAAAUUUUAAAAAUUUUUUACCCUUGAAUAUCUUUUCCGGUUUCCGCCACUAUCGACCUUGUUGAGGAUUUUUUUUGUGCAUUUUUGGUCUGCAAGUAGCCUUUUUUGGCAAUUCAACAUACAAAAUAGAUUAUUAGUUUCUUUAACCGGAGAAAUUGGACCUUCAUACAGAAGAUAAAACCUCAUUUUCAAACUUAAUUCUAUUGUGAUUUUUUUAUAAAUUGCUCCUUAAUUAUAAAAAAAUAAUAGUGUAAUUUUAAUCAAAUGAGCUUUUAAAAAUGAAGGUAAAAUAAUCUACUUUUUAGAAAGUAGAAUUAUUUAUAUAAAUAAAAAAAAACUUGAAUUUUUUACUGAGGAAGAGAAGGAUUGUCCUCUAGUACAUAGCCUCAAUAUUAUUUUGAGCCAUUUGGAUGCAUUAAUUUUUUUAUUUUUUAGAAAAAAACCACACACCCAUGUAUUAUGUAUUUCUUAUUUCUCGUGUCUAAAAUUGGUGUGAGAUAUAAAAUAUUGAAGGGUGCUUGAUUGAAGCGAGGUCGUAAUAUCCGUGGUUACCUUUUGGGUGCGCGAGGAAGAGACGCCUCCUAUACUCCGCUUUCCUAACCGUGACCGCCGUCGCACGCACACAUCGGCGCCUGGUAAAUGGGAGCUAAUCAGUUUAAUUUCGUUGAUGUUCUAUCUUUAUUGUUUUCAUUCAAUUGAUUAUUGUAUCAGGAGAUCCCAUUCGUUGACAAUGAAAUAGAAAGUCUCCUUUUUAUUUUAUUUAGAUCCACAUAAUUGAGACGUUAGCUACCGGUUUUUAGAAUAUAAUAGCGAUAUAUUUUUAAUUUUGUAUUAUCGGCUUGCUGGCAAUCUAUCUGUUUCUAUUUCUAUCUGCGGCUCUCAUCUGUGCAUAAGUUUGUCUUUUGUCUUAAUAAACUGUCUGCAAUCGUCUCAAUUUCUGGUUAGUAAUUAGUUGUAAGCUCUAAGUGAGGUAGAUAAUGUCUUUCUAAUUCUAUUGCAGGGAGAUUCUCUGGGUUAUUUUGCUUUCCAGGGAGUGUUUAUCGUCUUACCAUGGUUUCUUCGUCAGCGCUUGGUCAAGAAUUUAACAACUCUUUCUCAUCUAGAAAAAGGUUGAAAGUUUCAGAUUUUGAGCAUCAGGAACUAGAUUUGCAUACCUGUAUUGGUGCCGCAUCACUUCAGUCGAACACAAGCGAAUGCUCAUCUCGUGGGUAAUGCACAAUUGCAUUAUUUACUCUCUUUUUUGUUAUUCCAAUGUCAAAUUUUAUGAAUUUUCAGUUUUUUGAUUGUUAUCAUGAUAUAAUUUUGCUCAUGCUAUGUCAGGUGUUUUAAUGCCAAUCAUGCUUCUUCAUCAUGCAGCAGUUUCGAUGAAAAGAUUUGUUCUAAUACUGUGUUGGAGACUAGUUGUCAAUUGAAUGGAAAUAGUGGUGACGUGCCGGAGUCUAGUAAUGCUGGGGGAUCAUGGACCUCUUUCCCGGACAAGAAUUACUCUGGUUAUGUGCCCCCUGCUUUUGUGAGUGGGUGGAUGUAUAUUAAUGAAAAUGGACAAAUGUGUGGUCCUUAUAUCCAGCAGCAGUUAUAUGAGGGUUUAUUGACAGGAUUCCUGCCUGAGGAUCUUCCCGUGUAUCCCAAUGUAAAUGGGGCGUUAAUCAAUCCUGUACCUUUGAAGUACUUCAAGCAGUUUCCCGACCAUGUUGCAACUGGUUUUGUAUAUCUUGGCAUGGGUAGUUCAGGAGCAUCCUCACCUACAAAUUGUUUUUCCUCUUUCAAUAUGGAUUUGACUGGACAUAGGCAGGAGGGCUUUUUUCCGCAUGGUGCUCAAGUUUCUCAGCUGACAUCCCAUUCAUAUUUGCAUAACCAUGCUUGUAGCUCCAAUCUGCCAAUCUCAAAUUCCAAGGCAGAUACCCAUAAUACACCAUUCCCACUACCGGUAUUAACACUUCCUUUUGCAUUACAUUACAUAUGGAUCCAUUCAGCCAGUCUUUCUAUCUCUCUCCUAUGCAUAGUUCUUCUAUAGAUUAUGCAGCACUUCAUGAUUUUCAUUUCUACUAUUUUGCUUUCAGUCAGGGGAAGAUACUUGUUGGAUAUUCGAGGAUGAUGAAGGGAGGAAACACGGGCCACAUUCUCUUCUGGAACUUUAUUCUUGGCAUCACUAUGGAUAUCUCCAGGAUUCAUUGAUGGUAAGCUAUGAAACCAUUACUAUUAUCCAAUCAGCCAUUUUCACUACUGUAUUUGAAUUGAAUUCAGUUAUUUAUUGGGAGUUGAUGAGUUAGGGGAACUAGUAAAGGUUGCUGUUUUUGAGGAUUUCUUUUGUUAAUGUGAAAAUGGAAAUACUUUUAACUUUUAAAUUUUUAUCACUUGGAGACAAGAAGCUGGAUUCAUGAGUUCUUAUCUGAUUAUCUAUAAAAGGCUGAUCAGCUUUCCGUUUGGAUACAGUUCCUUUCUGCUUGAAAUUCAUAUUUGAUAUGUUGCAUUGCUGCAUGUUGUACUUUGGAUGAUAGAUAAUCCAAGAUAUCUGUGGCCCAUUGUGUUUAAAAGAUCAAAUUAUCCUAGCGGUUAGUAUUUGGGGUAGACUAAAAUAUUUUAUUCCUCUCAACUGUUAGCCAUUUUGUUCAUAAUGUUGUUGUAGUUGGUUAGUGCGACUCAACUUGUUGAACUGCUUCUCUCACCUUUUAAUUUAUUUCGUAAAAGGUUACUUUCAUUUAUGAUUUCUUGUCCCUUGGAUUCUAAUCCUUGCCACUAAGUGCUUCUAACUAUUUUACCGUUCCUCACUCUGAUUUUGUUAUAUCCUGUUUGGCAGAUAUAUCAUACUGAAAAUAAGUUUAGACCACUUCAACUGUUAUCUGUUGUGAAUUCAUGGAGAAUGGAGAAGCCUGAAUCUGUCUUUGUAUCUGAUGCCAAAACUGAGACUAGCUCACUACAUAGCUUCAUAUCUGAAAUCUCUGAUGAAGUUUCUUGUCAACUGCACUCUGGAAUAAUAAAAGCAGCUCGUAGAGUCGCGUUAGAUGAGAUAAUCAGAAAUGUCAUAUCAGAGUUUGUUAACGCAAAAAAAGCACAUAAGAACCUUAAGCUCAAUAGUCAAGUUGCCAAAACAUGCUCUACAGAUGAAAGAAUGGUAAUAUCAUACAAUUGCAUGAAUAUUUGAAGCUGUAGUUUUUUAGACUUGAUGAAUACAUUAUAUAUUUUGUAACAGUCUGAAGUUCCUCCCGAGAGAUAUAAUCAUGCUCCUCCUGAGGCUGAAGCUGCAACCUGCAAUCAUAGCUCUGAUCAGGCUCAAGUUGAUCAGGUGUCUGUGCAGUUCCAUACAAGCACAAAAUCUGUUGGAAGCAUUGACAACUUCUGGAGGUCAUAUGCAGUUGUUUGUAGAAUUCUUUUCGAUUGUUGCAUGGAAGUCAUGUGGAAUGCUGUUGUUUAUGAUGCCAUAGCGGAGUAUUCUACUUCCUGGCGAAAGAGAAAACUUUGGUUUUCUCAUCGGAAGGUUAGAAUUCCUACUAGCAUCAGGGAUCGUGGCAAGGAGACUGAAAAAUCACCCCAUGAACUUGUAUGUACUGAACUUUUUUAGAGGUGUUUAACUUUUGUUAUUACUAUUGCAAUUACUAGUCCUCUUAUUAAUAUUUGUGCAAGUAUAAUAGCUGAGUGAUGUUUCACUGUUUUUACAGUUAUCCAGGCAAGAGUCUUCUGGUUGUGAUGUUGAUUGUUCUCCUGGUUCUGAAAUUGUGACGGUUGAAAAGGAUAUUCAUGCAGAAUCACCUAUAAUUGCUUCAUUUUUUACUAUGGGAGAGGAGUCAUCUAAACUGGAUGGCCUAUCAUGCAAGGGUUUUUUAUACAAUGGCAUAAAUUGCUGCUUAGAAUGCGUGGAAAAUGAGCUACAUUUGUCCACAAAGGUGUCUUUGGUUGAAUAUGUUAAAUUUCUUGUCAAAGAGGAAGCCAUGAAAAUAGUUAAAUACUCAGAGGAUGACAACUUGAAUGAGGUAACAGAAAGUAGUUUCUGCUGUCUAUCUCUAUGUGUCUGUCAUACCUCUUUUUUUUAUGUGAAGAAAAUUGCUGGGGAUGAUCAUUGAAUGAAAACUUUAUCUACAGCUAUAUUUAAUACUUAUAUAUUCUUGUUGUUGCAGGAGACUGUUGAAUCUUCAGGUCAGUGUCGCCAGACAACUGAAUUUAGUUCUCCAGAGUUGGAUGGGGAACUGAGGAUUGACUCCAAGAUUGAGACAUCCAAUGAUUCUCAAAGUUCAUUGAUAGCUGGAAUGCCCUCUGGCUCCUUUGUAUCUGAAAAUCGUUUUUCAAAUUUUUUGGCAAGUAUUUUUGAAAAAUCAUUGGCAUGUGUCGAAGAUAUUAUGGAUGACCAAAAUAUUGAUGAGUCACCACUACCUGGACUUGAAGAUAAUGCUGGAAUUCUUGUCCCUUCACCUAUAUGUAAAUUCCAACCUUCAAGAUCAGAUGAGUCUACUCCUAGAAUCAGAGAAUAUGUUGCCAUGGCAAUAGUCAGGCAGAGAUUGCAUGAUGAUGCACUAAGAGAGUGGAAAUCAUCGUUUAUUGACGGUAUCCUUAAUCAGUUUAUUGGAUUCCAGCUUAAUUCAGAAAGGCACUUUGAACUUUCCAAUGUGGUAUGUGUUUAAACUUUUGUGUUCCCCUUUGAAUUUCUAAAACUUGAUCUCCUCUGAUCAAAUUUACUUGUGUUUGUUCAUAAAUUUUUUCAUGUUGUGUUAGGGUUUUGAAGCAUCCGAAUCCUUUCAGCUAAUAUUUCUUCUGAAUGUUAUAGGAAGGUACAUUUAAUGCAAAAAAAGCACAUGAUGGCAAUACUUCACUGGACAAAGUUAAGGAUCGUUUAAGGAGGUCUGAUAGUUCAGAUGCUACAGUGAUGUCUUUGGUCACUGGUAAAUACACAUAUUACCGCAAGAAAAAGUUGGUGCGGAAGAAGUUGGGGUCAUCUUCUCAGUCUAUGACUCCAGUUGAUGCAGGGUUACAGCAACAGCCUGUCGAGAAGUCUCAAAAGCAUCACAUUAUCAGAGAUUUUGCUGAGAACAUAGAAGUCAAACCUGUUGUUGCAACUCCCAAGAAGAAGCAACUAACCAAGGUCCAGGCUGUAUUAUCUUCCCAGUCUAGGUCUUCAAAAGCCAUUGUUAAAAGCAAUUCAUCAAAUGAUCAAUCAUUGUCCAAAAAUGGUACUCAUCAAAAAGUAAUGAAGAUUAAGCAUGCAGUUGCAAGACCUAGUACGUCAUUUUGCCAGAAGUUUUUUUUCUGAUGAAAAAUAUUUUACAUAUUGUAACUGUUAUUGACUCUAUUAUGUAGAUAAUAAGGUCAUAGAGCACUCUGUAAAACCUGCUCGGAAGAGUGUUUCAGACUUCGGUAAGGAUCGUGCUAAUGUUAAGAAGGUUAUUGAUAGCAAAAUCCAUAAUGCUGGAAGUGACAAAUCACUGACUCAAGAUUGUUCCAAAAAUAACCUAAUUGGUGAGCAACUUCAUGAUGUUGUAAUCAUUAUGCUCUCAUAAAUUUUCUAAUGAAUCAAUUCAGGACUUUGUGCUUAAUGCUAUGGUUUUAUUUGUCUAUUUUGUAAGUAGCCAUUAAGACGUCAAAGUUGAAAAGGAAGCAUUCAGAGGGUGUUGAGUCAACAAUGCAUCCUACAAAGAUUCUGAAAGUGGCCAAUUGUGCUUCCAAGCAAGCUGCAACUAGACAGGUUACAUUGCCCAAGACAAAGUCAAGUAAAUCCAAGAAAUCAAAUCCUUGCCCUAAAUCUGAUGGAUGUGCACGUUCUUCAAUUAAUGGCUGGGAGUGGCACACAUGGUCACGUAAUGCAAGUCCUGCUGAAAGGGCGCGUGUUAGGGGCAUUCACCGUGUUCUUGCCAACCUUUCAAGUUUUGAGGCUUAUACUUCUCAUUUGACGAAUGGUAAGGUUCUUUCUGCGAGAACAAACAGGGUGAAGAUGCGCAAUCUCCUUGCUGCAGCUGAUGGUGCUGACCUUUUGAAAGCUACACAAUUGAAGGUAAUUGAAAAUGUAAUUCAUUUUGGAGUGGGCUAUAUUUUCUUUGAUUGUUUUAAUACUUAAUCUUCUUUAGGCAAGGAAAAAGCGCUUGCGUUUCCAACGGAGCAAGAUUCAUGAUUGGGGUCUUGUUGCCCUGGAGCCUAUCGAGGCUGAGGAUUUUGUAAUUGAAUAUGUUGGUGAACUAAUUCGUCCUCGAGUAAGUUUAAUUUGAGUUUUUAGUUACUGGUGCCAGUAUAUUACACAUUUUCAAUUGCUUCAUCCUUUUGCUUCCGAUUUCUUCUUCAUUGUUCUCCUAUAGUUGUAGCAAUCAGUUCUAUCCCCCUCCUUUUCUGGUUGAAUAUUUUUGUUGCUUUUUAAUUUCGUGAACCUACUCUGAUUGGGUAUGCAGAUAUCCGAUAUACGUGAGCGUCUUUAUGAGAAGAUGGGAAUUGGCAGCAGUUAUCUUUUUAGACUUGAUGAUGGUUAUGUGGUUAGUAUUCCUACAGUAGAGCUUUUAGAUUGAAAUUAAUUAUGCUAACUUGUUUGAGGAUAUUUUAUAUAUUGUUGCCUCUGGCCCCACCUUUCCUCAUAUUUGCCCUGAAUUUAGCUUUCCAUGUGUUUUGUCCUGUAAUUCUACCUGUUGCAUGUUGUUUUAAUGGUCUAUUUAAUUAGAUUGCAAAAUAUUAUGAAACACUUUUCCCUAUCCCAUCCGAAAUCAUUUCCAGCUUAAAUUAUUUUCAGGACACAGUAGUUGAUGGUAUAUUGAAGGGCUUUAUAGAUACAUACAUUUUCUUCUGUGUCUUUGAUUUGUGUUUUUUAGUAAUAUUUAUAUUUAUAUAGAUGGACAUUGGGCUGGUGUUUGUUUUAACUGCACUAUUUUUAUUUUUAUUUUUAUUUUUUAUUUUUUAUUUUUUUUUUUAUAUGGAUGUGGAGAAUCUAGUGUUGGUAACUUUUGAGAUACUAAUUGGAGAUGAAUGAGCUUCAUGUAAUCGUGCAAAACUGAAUUUAUUUAUUCAAUGUCUAUAUGAUGGUAUGAGCUUGUGUAGCAACCAAUUGGCAUUGCUAUUCAAUUUGCAGUAUUUGGAGCUUCUCAAAACAUGGUCUAGGAAGAACCUGGAUGCUAUAGCUUUUUGAAAACCAUUAUUCACUGAAAGUAGUUAAACAACCUGCAUGAAAAAAAUGUUCAAAGUCAAUAUUGAAAAGCAGCACCAAACUCAAUUCUAAGUAGAUCCAUAGCAAAUAUCUUGUCCAAACAACAUAAGUGACAUCUAUUGGGGUCAGAGACUUGCUAAACCUUCUGUUAUCACCAUUGGAUGGAUAUUUUUCAUUUAUAAUUCCAUGAUAUAUGCUAUAUUAUUGUCGGAACAGGAAACUUACUGCUGCACAUUCUUUCUGCAUUGUGUAGGUUGAUGCUACAAAACGUGGGGGAAUUGCAAGAUUCAUAAACCAUUCUUGUGAGGUACCUGCACGAGUUUAAUUGGAAAAUAUUUGUCUACAUAAAAAUGGGUUUAUUUAUUGAUUCUUAUAAUUUAAAGUUGAUGGUCUUUGCAGCCCAAUUGCUACACAAAGGUCAUAAGUGUCGAAGGUGAGAAAAAAAUUUUCAUUUAUGCGAAACGACACAUAGCUGCUGGGGAAGAAAUCACUUACAACUACAAAUUUCCUUUGGAGGAGAAAAAGAUACCAUGCAACUGUGGUUCCAGGAAGUAAGAUGGCUAUGCAUGUCUUUAACUUUGUGGCAGUGUUUGUUGCCAGUCUUGAUGGGUUUUUAUAUUCAUUAAUAUUUUUUGACACAUUUUCUUCAGGUGUCGUGGAUCAUUGAAUUAGGAAGUAUUCUCAGUUGCCAUUUUUGGUAAGUGCAAUAGUUAAUUAUUUCUUGUAAAGAACUUUGAUUUAGAUUAUUUGUGAUGCUUUCUUAUCUCAUGCUCAUAUUUUUGUAGGCUAUACUUUGGAGUUUUAUUCCUGACUCUGUAUGUUUGCUAUCAACAGAUGUCGAAGGUACGUCUGAUUGCUUUCUCCUCCAAAUUAUGUAGAUGUCCAGUUGUACUUCGAGCUGUUAAUUAUAGUUCUUGCUCAUGCCUUUUUCUUUUUUUAAUUGUUUUUUGCAUUUGAUGGGGGUGCUCUUGAUAUAGAAAGGCAUAGUUAAUUCUUUACUUGAUAUGUACAAGCCACAAAUGCCUUCUUUGGCUGAAUUUAUAGUGGUGCAGAUCACCGUAGCUGUGAACAUUUGCAAAUUGUUAGUAUUUCAAGUUCUGUUAAAAGUGAUACUAACCUAUGGCUUAUUCAACCUGGAAUGCAUAUGUAUUUCUUGUUUGGCAGGCUUGUCAAUGCGCAAUUGCGCGUGCCUGUAGUUCAAGAAUAUUAGGUUAAUUAAAUUCCCUUUCCCUUUCCCUUUCCCUUUCUUCCAUAGUUCCAUGGUGGGCCUUGAACUGGCAGAUUCAACCUUGAUAAACAACCAAGUGAACUAGAAACUUGGGAGAUUGGACAAAGUUGCUCUGCACAUCUAGGGUAUAUAAGAAACGUACUUUCAGGUUCAGCAAAGCAAAUUGAAUGCCUCUUGAAACUUGUCUAAUUAGCCAGUUAGCUUUACACUUUUACAAUGAGCUGAACAAAAAAAAAAAUGAAGUUCCAUUAAUUGAUAUAAUUACAUUGAAAUUUCUAUUUUAAAUAUUACUUUUCUAUUAAGUUUGUUUUGUCAUAUUUUAAUGAGAUACUUGUUCAUGCACAUCCACUCGACAGUCUGAUAUUUUUUGAUCUAUAUCUCCAAUAGAAAGGUUUUAGAUUGGAAUUAUGCAGGACAAUGUGGUAUCUAUUGCAUUUGCUAUGCUGCAGAAUGCUUUAACUUGUAAAGCUUGGCUGGGGCUUGCUUAUUAUUCUUUGUUAUUGAUUUUCCAAGUUAGUGAAUGUGCUUUGUUAUGAUCAUGCAAAUUCUAUUUUGUAGCUGACGUUUAUUAAGGAGUUGGAUUGUUCAGCUUGACUUCAGAGUGCCUACCUAAGAAUCUGGUGCUUGGAAGUAUUUCAUGUUUGUAACAAGAUGAAUGAGCUGCAGUCUGGUAGCAAAGUGCAUUGGCUGGGUUUAUCGUCAAUUGUAUGUUCCUAAAAGCCUACUGUUUGAAUAAAUUUGAAUAUUAUUUUCACUUAUUCAUCAGCUACGAUUCCCCCAACAUUUUUAAACAGUGAAUUAAGUAAAAUAUCGGGUUCAUAAUUUCCAUGUAUUUGGUUACAAGGAAUGAAGUUUAAAGAUGAAUUUAUUUAAAAAUUGUUUUUUCUUGCUAAAUUGCUUUUCUCCUGUACCAUAUAGCUAUAUGGUGACAAAGCCUGGGUUUUAUCCCAAGUGACUGUUGGAUAGAGUUCAUUGUGUUUGAAGUUCAUAUUAGUUAAAAAUAAUAAUAAUAAUAAUAAUAAUAAUAAUAUGGAACAUGGUACAUGUUUGUGGAUGAUCUCUUUCUUCUCUCACUCUCACACAACCAAUGUACAGACACAUGGUUUAGUAAAUUUUUGCUCUUGUAUUCAACUUCUGCUUCUUUGUUUGGAAUUACUAUGAUAAUGGGAUUCUUUUUUUGCACUGAUUAUGGCACUAUCUAGUUUGUGAAACCUAAGUGGUUUCUAAGUCCAGGGUUCACAAUCACAGCAUGUUUAUUAACUUGGCGAUGCAUCUGGAUACUCAUUUCAAUGUAAUAGGAAUUGGGAAAAAGGUUAAUGGUUGAGUGGAUGUGGGCUUUUGGGUCAGGGAUAAAGAUGCUAAAUCUGUAAAUUGUUGCCUUAUACAUGGACAAAUUUAAAUAGGUGAAAAUAAGCGUGUAUUAUUCUUCUUCUGAUUAAAAUGACAGAUGAUUAUGCGCAAUGUGGUUUCUUGAACAACUUGAAUUGUAAUUUUUUUUUCUUUGCUGCCUAAAUAAACUUAAGACAUUUUGGCGUUAUGCCUCCUGUUCUGUAUUCCUAAGUGGUGGGUUUCUAGGGCUGGAAACUAGUUAUUCAGAACUUAGCUUAAUAAAGGCUUUGCUUGAACUUACACAGUAACAUCAAAGAGUGAAGCUCAAAUUUACUUUAAAACUUCUUUAAUAAACAUAAUGUGGUUUGGCUGGGUGAAGCUCAACUCAUUUGAAUUUGUAGAUAACCCAUUACUAAUUUGAUUUUUGAAUUUAUAAGAAAAAUAAAAUGACUUAUUGAUUUGUUUCUUAGAAAAUCUAUAGAAAGUAUGAUUUUUUCAGUUCUAUAUAUAUAUAUAUAUAUAUAUAUAUAUAUACUUGUACUAUGGUCUCCAAAAGUUGCUUCCUUUAUCGUAUUUAUAAUAUUAUAAUAAUAUUAGAAACCAGGAAUAUUUCAUUUUUGAAUAAAUCUGGACUGGUUUCAUUUACAAUUGAAUCGAAUUGAGAAAUCUAUUAGUUUAAUUUCAAUUGGUUUAGCUCUGUUAUAAAUGAAUUGGAAUUGAGUUUAAGUAUAAAGCUCAUGUUAUAAACAGAGUUCAAGAACCAAAAUUUGACUAGGUGCAGCUCUUUUGCAGCCCCAUAGUAUUCUUUAUAAAAUCAAGGUACUCUGCUCAUCUAUUUGUUCCACUAAUGAUUCUGCAGAUAAUCCAUGUUUUUGCCGGUAAUCUAGCCUCUGAUUACUUGAGUCACUUGCGCUCAUUUGUUGGGACUGAGGAUUGGUAAUUUUUGCUUUUGGUUUGCCAACUUAACCAAAUAGUGAUAAUGAUAAUGGCAAGGGCGAUGGGGUUGAUGCAUUGCUGUUUUGUUUCAGGUUCUGAAUGAUAGGCGUCAAUAAAGGCUGGGUUGUGUGGUUGUGGUGGUUUUUCCAUUGAAUUUUUCACCUACUGGUGUUAGAUGAUGUACAAAUUACUCGUGGAUUCUUGUAGAUCUCUCUCUGCUGCAGAUGAGUUUCUCCUCUUAGAAAGUCCAAAUCUUAGAAAUAUGAAUUUGUUUCAUGCUUACAUGACAUUUUUUGGAUUUCAGUUUGUUGUACAAACAUGCAUUGUUAAAUCAUAUAUUCGAUAAAAAUGAAAUUUUAUUUAUAAGAAGAAUCAUAGAAAUUAUACCGAUAUGCUUGUUUUCCUUUUUUUUUUUUUUUUUUUUUUUUUUUUUCUGGGUUAGUGAUGAAGUGCUUUGGUCUGCAACUAAACAUGUUCUUUUAUCUUGGAUCUUGUUAUGAAAAAUCAGUGGAACUGAAGAAAUCUGGGGUACGUUGCUCUUUUUUUUCCUUCGGGAUAAAGUAUUUAUGUUAUGAAAGAGUACAAAAAAAGAUAACUAAUACUUCAAUACAGGAGAGAUUGCAACCUGUGUUGUCGUGUCAACCUGAGUUGAUGGAGAGCCAUCUAGAAUAUUUGCUUGUAAAAUAAUUAAUGUCUAAAGUUUUACUAGCUUUGGUGAGAUUAACAAGCCCAACAAUCUUUAAUGGGUCAUGGCCUUGAUCAUAAAUAACUUCUUAAAUGAAAAUCUGAUAUCCAGUUUACAAUUGGUGAUGCUUCAAACUAACAGGGAAGGCAAGGAGUUGCAUGAUUUAACAAGCAAAAAGUUUUGUACUUGAGAUGAAAGUGAAGGCAAUGAAUGGAUAAAAUAUGCUUGCUCUGGUGCCAAUUAGAUAAAAACCAAUUCUUGUAGCUUCUUCUAGCCUUUCGAUGGGCAAGGUAGGCAAGUCACGUGGUUAAAACUGGCAUGUAUGGAAUCAGAAACCAAUCUCGUGAUUGUUGUCCAUAAUAGUUACUUGGUCAGGUGGGAUAUGAUGCCAGUCACCGGCACUUCAAGUCUUCAAUCAUGUAUUUAUUUUUUCUCUUUUGGCAAAAUUUAUUUGCAUUUAUGGAUGAGAGGCUGUAUGAAUUUCUUUUUAAUUGUGUUGUUUUUCCUUAAAUUUCUUUUGGUUGCAGGGGUUCAAGUAGAAACCGUUAUAGCUGUUGGGGUGGAGAUCUCUUAGUGGCCUCCGGGUAUGUUUCUAUUUCUGUUUUUAUGAACUGUAAUAAGAGAAUGGAGGUUCUCAUCCAAAUACUAAUUGCAAGUACUAAUCAAGAAUCCUAUGUUAAUGGAACACUUUCCUCUCAUCCAUACAUAUAUAAACAGUUUCACUGAAAUUAACUAAUGUAAAAAGAAAAAAAAAAUGUUUAAAAUAUGGAAACCAUAAAUUUGACACUAUAAUGUCUUUGAUUAGUAUACGGAGUAUCAUAUAAUUAAGACACAAUAAGGUAUCAUCAGAUAACAUAAUAUAAUUAAGAUACAAUAAGGUAUUAUCAGAUAACAAUAACAUCACACAAUUUGUAAUCGUGGCUCUCUUGCAUCCAAUUGCAAGUCAGCUAGUGGUUUAAUAUGAGGAUGACAAGUUCACAAUUUUUACCUAUUUCUUGACCAAGGGAAGGAUGUUCUAUGAGGUUUUAUCAAAUUAUGAAGUAGGCCUGUUCAUAGAGUAACUCCGCCUGUGUCCUUUUGUUUUGUUGAUGCACAGCCGGUCCCAAGCCCGGAUAAAGGAGGAGGGUUGUAGCGAGUCAAAGAAAUUCUUAUAUUAUUUCAUUAAAUUAGAGGGUAUUAGGAAAUAAUUAGCGAUUUAAUGGAAUUUGAUAAUCCAUUGAUUAAUUCAACUAUUGAAUUGGGAGAAAGGUUGUAAAUUGUAAUGGGUAGCAAAGGUUAAAUUUGGCAGAUGCUACCAUUUGACAUUUGUCGAACAACUCCAAUUGUCCUAACAAUGAGGAGAAUGAUGUUGCCAUCUUUAUUUUUCGGUGUUUGCCAUGCAAGUCGUCUUAUCAUUUUUCGUUUAUUUUUAAAAUUUGUAGUCAAUCUUCGAAGUGUUAUAUAUUCUUACUUCUUUCCUCGUAUUUCCAGCCCCUCCCAAUGGCUAUCCUUAUUAUUAUCUAAAAAUAAAUAGGUUGUUAAUAAUAUUAAUAGGUUGUUUUGAUGUGCUUGGCACUGGAUGUGUUCCUUUGCAAAGAAAGAAAUAAAUAUUAACGGUAAUGGCAUGCAAUAUAAGAUUUUACUGUAAUGAAAUGUAAUAUGAUAUAUAUAACAUUACACUAAACAUACAUGUAAUUAUAAUUUAUUAUAGCCUGAUUCAUAGUCCAGAAGUUAAUAUUUGUUUUUUUUGGUUGUGAAUGUGGAGGAGGGGACAAAACCCAAACGAGGAUUACAAAAGUUGUCUAGGCCAAAAAUCCUAUCAGCAUCUACCAAUUCUAUA